CAUCAUCUCAUAUUCAAUUCAUCUUUUUAAUAUUAAUAAUAAACUUUCAAUCAUGUUGUAGUUGUACAUGAAAUAAAUUUCCUUUUGCCAUUUUUUUGUUUCUUUGCCACUCAACAUGGUAAUUGCAACAAAGAUUUUAUAUAUUGAUUAUUUCUUUUAAUAUGUUAGUACAUUGAGUAUGAUAGCAUUAAACUUAAAUCAAGACAAGGAAGUGAGAAUUUUGUGAGUUGUCAUUUAGUUUGGUGGACUGUAAAUUUACUUCAUUAUUCUUCAGGGCAUUUCAAAAACUUGAGGAGAUUAUAGUUACCAAUUCUGAGUGUUUGAAUAUCUUCAUAUAAAUGAAAGAAACUAUAGUUUCAAACAAAAUAAAACUUACAGCUUGUAACAAUAACUAGUCUAGAAUGACAAAAACAGAGGGGAAAAAAUCAAGAAAUUACGUUGAAGAUAAAAAAUUACAUGGCUUGGCAUGUCUCAAAGAAUUUGAAGUCAAUAAUUUAAAUGAUAAAAAUGCAUUUGUUAAUACAAAUCUUAUUAGCAACCCAAGCACUUAUUCAACAAAACAAGAUGCAAUUACAUCAAAAGAAUUGGCUGAAUCAAAUUUGUCAACUGUUGUGAAAGAUUUAGAAAACAAAUUAUCCAAAAAGCCAUUAAAAUCCACCAAAUUUCAAAUUCAAAAAAGUCAAGGCAAUCAAUCAUUAGGAGUUGUAAAAAAAUCAAUUGAUCAACAAGAUAUGCCCACUUUAAAUAGACCAAGCAAAAAUCCUCCAAAACCAACCUAUGGAAGUAAAGUUGGCUCAUUUACAACUUACUUCUCUAAGAUUUUUGAUACAAAGAAGAAAUUGGUGAAUUCAAAACCAAAUAUGACCAAUUCAAAACCAAGUAUUAGUCCCAUAAUGUCCAAAGCAAAAUGUGGACAAAUUCCUACAUCUCCAAAGCACUCUCAACCAAAUUGCACAAUCCUAAAACCAAAACAAUCCAAGAAGAGUUGCUCUUGUGCAAACAAAUCUAAGUUAAGGUGUAUAAUUGAUUUUUUUUUUAUAGUAUUAUUACUUGAAUAUUUUUUCCUUUGAUAGAUACCAUUCAUGUUCAAAAAUAAUAAUAUUAUAAAAUGGAUACAAGACAUUACUGAAUGCAUACAAGUUUUUACUCUAUUUUAAUUUCUAAUUUUCUAUAAGUAGUGCUAUGUGUACUAUAUAUAUAUAUAUAUAUAUAUAUACAUAUAUCUUAAUUUUAAGAAAUUUAUUUUUGAAAGAUUUUCUUUCAAAAAAUUGGUGGAAUAUAUAUGAUAAACAAUGUCAAGUACACGUUUCUACAUUAAGAAGCUGAAAUCAAUCAAUCUGUGCAAUUGUUAUUUACAUUGCCACCAACUAAUGAGAUAUAAUGUUUUUAUGUUGCAGGCUUAAUUUUUGUAUAAUUUCGUAAAGAUGUGUGUACACAUAUAUGCAACUAACAUCCAAGGGCAAUUAGAAUUAAAAAAGAGAAUAAAACAAAACAAAAGAAGAGAUUCCAAUUUGUCACUUUCAAAGCUAAAUCUAUACUUGUAAAUUAAUACACACAACAAUCAUAUAAUACAAUUCAGAUAAAUGCAAAUAUUUUUAAAAGAAUAAAUUGGCGAAUUUAAUUUUCAAUUUUCAUAUGAUUGAUGCUUGCACUUAAAUUAUUUAUGCAAAUAGUAUUGUGAAUUAUGUUUAAGUAAUUAUUCUUUUUAAAAAAAAAAACAAAAUUGAUGCUACAAUUUGAAAUUCAUGAAACAGCCUUGAAGAAAAGGACAGCUUAUGAUUAUUACUUGAUGUUUCAUAUAACAUUCAUAAAUCACACAUUUUACUCUAGAAAUUUCCACUUUCACACCAUUCAGUUGUUUGGACAAUGAAUUUAUUUGUCCACUAUUCUUUCAACUCCUUCUUCACUCAUUCAUACACUAAUUAUAUAAUAAUAAUAAUAAUAACAAUAAUAACUUUGAUCAAGAAUUUACAUCUAAAUUACUUGAAUAAUCAUUUAUCACAAUAUAAAGAUUAAAAAUUCAAAAUUUAAUGUCACAAACAUUAAUUUUCAUGAAGCAAUACUUUUGCAAGAAAAGUUGAAAGAAAAUUAGUUAAAUUUUGUACAAUUUUUUUCCAAAACUUACGAAAUGUAAUUAAAAAGAUCAAGAAAAUAAGUAAAAAAAUAAAAAUAUUAAUUAAUUUCUUGAUGCAUUUUAACUUUAUUUUAAUUUUUUUUGAUUUGUAAUACUUUGUGGCUCAUUUAUAAGAAUGGUAGAAACCAAUGAAUAUUCCAAGCUAGUAGUUAACAUUUGAUUAUUGGUUUAAAAUAAAUAAUAAUAACAUGUGAAUGAAUCAAGUAUAAUUUAUUUCUUGAAUAUUAUUUUUCAUAUUUAAAAAAAAUUAAUGAACUUGCUUGUUAGGAAUAUUUUUUAAGCUUUCAUUUAAGUUCCGAAAAUAUUAAUAUCCAUUUUUGAAAAACAUUAAGAAUCUAAGAUUAUUUUUUUAUUUUUUUAUUGAUAUCAAAAUUUGAUGUAAAGUAUUAGAGAUGCCUGUGAUACUAGAUAGUUUAUUACUUGUCUUAGCGUAUUAAUGACCUGACAUGUUUUAAACUAUUAGAAAAAAAAUGAAUAAAAAAAAAAUGAAUAAAAAGAAAAUGCCAUUCUAUAUUCACUUAAUGACACAUUCACACACAUUUCGUGUUUCUUUUUGCAACUAAAUAAUAACAAUAUUAAUAAUAAUAAAAUCCCGCAUACAUAUAUAUUAGUACAAGUUGUAAGUAAACUGUUCUUAUGAAAAAAAUAAAUAAAUCAAAUGAUCAGAUAUUGCACAAUAGAAAAAUAUCACAAGAAAUCAAACCACUUGUAAUUCACACAUGAAUAUUUAUUCAUUAAUUUUUUUACCUUUUCAAACUUCUAUAUAGCCAUUAAAAUUGAUAUUGCAGUUGAAACAGCCAUGCACUCAAACACAUACCAAAUGAACAUAAAAAUGGCCCAUUUUAAUAGAAAUUUGGAUGAACAUACUUAUUAAAAACAUUCAAAAUUGUAAAAUAUAAUAAUAAGAGUCUAAAUAAAAUUUUAAAAAAUUUGAAAUUUUAUUUAUUAAUAAUUUAGUUCAAAUUUUUUAACAUGUUUAUUUUUUAGUAUUUAUUUUUGCAAAAGAUAAGAUAAUUUAUCCCUUUCAUGUCAUAUAAAUAGAAAAAAAAUAAAAAAUUCUAUCAAUUUAUAUAUAUUCAAUGAUUAUUUUUAAAAUACCAUAUUUAAAUUAAAAGGUGGUAUAAAGCCUAAAAUUGGAAUUUUUUUCUAAAUAAAUGAUUACAAAAAUUUAAUUUUUUAAUUUUGUUCUCUAUAAAAAAAUCAUUGAAAUAUUUAUAUGCUUUAAUAUUUUUUUUUAAAAAAAUAUUCUUUAAUAUGAAUAUGUAAUUACCAAAAUAUUUAAGAAAUUAUUUAAAAAAAAAUACAAAGAAAAAAUUAUUUUUCUAUAUUUUUUUCAAUUUUUAAUCAUAGAAAAAUUGGUUGAUGAAUGCAACAUGCUUCUACUUGAUAUUAGUUUCAAGUUGUCAAAAUUGUGAAGUAUAUAAUGUUACUAAUUGAUUUUCUUCUCACAAAAUACUAAUCGUAUUUGUUGUAAUACAAAUUGUUUUAUGUUCUCCAUACAAAGAUCAAAAGUAAGCCAAAAAAACCUUCAAAUUAUCUAAUAUGGAAUCAUAUUUUCGAAAAAAAGAUGAAAACUAUAAAGCAAAAUUUGAAAUUAAUUAUUCAAUAAACCUGACUUAUGAUCUUAGACUUGAAUAGUUUUGAAGUUGGAAUUUAAUCAUUAGUUUUAUUUGAUUGAUACAUCCUUGAAAAUUUGAUCUUAUACCAUCAAACUUCUCAAAUAAGUCAACUCCUGGUUUUUUAAUGUCUAAAGGUGUUCUACUAUAGGAGAAGUAAUAUGAUUUGGUAUAGAUAUGGAAGUUGCUUCAAUCAUCUCUAUAACUUCACUUCUUACCAAUCUUGUUGCUUCUUGCAGUGGUAAAUUAAAUUAAUGCGUUAUAAAUAUUAAUUUCCUCAUUUUCUCUUACAUUUGUGCCAUUGCAUUAUUUAUUUCUACAAUCUUUCCUAUGAUGACAUAAUAGAAAAGAAGAUAUCUAAUAUCACUCAAGACAAGUAGAAAAAAGAAUUCAUGAUAAAAAAAAAUCUAAGAAUAAUAUUAGUUUAGAAGUGGAUAAUCCACAACUUCUAAUAUGCUUAUUUUUUAUAUAUAUAAAAAAAAACUAUUCUUAAUUAAGAAAAGACAAAGCUUUAAUAUUGUAAGUAUAUUAUUAUUAAUUGGUUAAGGAUAAAAAUACAAAGAAUGUAAAUAAAUAAGUAAAAUAUUUCUUAAAAAAAGAUAAUACAAAUACAAUAUAUAUAUAUAUAUAUAUAUAUAUAUAUAUAUAUAGAAGAAGAAAUUUAAUAACUCUUAAAAGUAAAAUAGAAGCAAAAAAAGAAUUAACAAGAAUAAAAAAGACCUUAUUCUUGCCUCCAUACAUAUUAUAUAACUAAGAGUUAUAAAGAAACAUUCUAUAAGGUAUCCAAUAUGUAUUCAACUUGCAAGAUGCAUGUCUAAUUUGCAAGACAAGCUUCUUAUAUGUGUGCCACAUGUCUAACUUGAACCACAAGUGGCCAAUAUGUGGGCCAAAAUUUCAACCUAUCAAUCACCUACAAAUAUAUAUAAAGAUAGAGCCACAUCUAUAAAGCUUUUAAGAAGAUUUUUUAUAAGAUAUUAUAAUAUUUUUUUAUUUUUAUACACUUAUAUCUACUUAUAUUAGUUAAGUAAGUUAUUGGAAUAUAAAUUUAUAUAUAUAUAUAUAUAUAUAUAUAUAUAUGAAAAUAGAAUCCCUACUAUACUAUAAGAAUAGCAUAAAAUUUGAUAUAGCCUUUGUAUGCCAAUACUUUAUGUAAAUUUAUGGCUCAUCCAUACAACUAAUAUUGGCUAAGAGUAAAAUAGAUUUUUUACUAAUUAUAAAAAUUAAAGCAUCUAGCACUCUAAUACAAUAGUAAAAAAAUCCAACUUAAGACUAAUAAGGUAUAAAGAUGUAGACUAAAGAAGAUUCAAAGUGACCUUGUGUUUAUUGAGUAGCUUUUCAUUCAUUAUGGGAGAUGCAAUCAUUACAUGGUCCAAUAAAAAACAUGCAACUAUCACAAUUUCAUUGUCAAAGAUAAAAUAUGUCAUUGCAACUAUUGCAAUCAAGGAAGCUCUAUGACUUUUGUAGGAAUUAAAUGACUAUAAUAUAAAACAACCUAAUCUAAUCUUAAUUUACAAAGAUAACAAGUCUUGCAUUACAAUUGCUAAGAAUCUAGCUCAUUAUGGAUGUAAAAAAUAAUACAACAUCUAGGAUCACUUUAUAGAAUUGUACAUAAAAGUAAGAAAUGUGGAUUUACAAUAUUAUGGUAAUAAAAACAUAGCAAUAGACAUAUUUACUAAAUCUCUUGCUAGGACAAAGUUUAUUGCUUAUAAGAACAUAUCAAGGCUUAUUCCAUAAAUUGAAGUAGUUUUUUCUUGUGAAAGAAGAGUGUUGAAAUAUUAAACCAUAUUGAAUGUACUAUUGUAUGGAACUUCUAGCUACUUUAAUAAUCUAUUAAUUCAAAUCUAACUUGCACAUGACUUAGCAUCAAGUUAUAUUUAGCAUAUAAUGUUGUAUCAAUAAAUACAUAUAUUCUUUCAUCAAAUAUAAUGAAUGAUAAUAAUUCAUAGUCCUUGCAUUACUAAUUUGUUUUUUGAGUAUUUAAGAAACUUUUUUGGCAGUCAUAAAAUAAAGAUGUUGUAUAUAGUAGAAACUAUGGAUGGAUUUGUUGUAGUAUAUUUUGAAUUAUAAAGUUACAAGAAUUAGCUAAUUAUACAAUUAUAUUAAAAAUUGAAGUAGUCAAAACUUAGUAGCCAAAAUAAUCUCAAUUUUCAUAUUAGGUAUAAUCACAAGAAGUCUAAUGAAUUGUAUUGAUACUUCUACUUUAUUUGGAAUUCAACUUUUAUAUUUUUACAAAUAAAUUUAAAGUCAUUAUUGUCAUCUAAAUAAGUCUUCUUUAAAAAUAUAUUUUGAUUUCUAUAAAAUUAAUAUAACAUUAUAUAAAGAUAUGUGUAUUACAUUAAAUUUCAUACUUGCCAUGUAUUGGCAAUAUAACUUGAAUCUUGAAAGGUUUGAAAUGUAACAAAAUAGUAAGACAUUGUCACGAACUUAGAAUACUGACUGAAAUUCUAAAAAAGAAGCUCAAGAAAAAUCAAUAAGAACUAGAUUAAUCAGAUGAGUAUAAGAACAAUACUAGAGAGGUGAGCUAGAGCUCCAAGAAGUGUGUUUUCGAGACUAAGAAUCCCCUCAAUCUCGGUUCCUAUAUAUACUGCAAGCUAGGAAGUAUCUCAAGUAGCUUCUACAAAUUAGGAAGCUUCUCAAGUAGCUUCUAUGAAUUAAGAAGCUUUUCAAGCAGCUUCCAUGCGCUUGAAAACUUCUCAAGUAGCUUCUACACACUACAAAGCUUCUCUAGAACCUUCUAAAAUCUUCUACAAGUUCUUAGUGUAUGUCUUUGACAUCACUCCCUUUUUAGCUUUGAGGUCUUCGAGAAGCACUCCUAUUACAAGUCAGUACCAACGUAAGAAGUUGAAAAUUUGUCACAUAGUGUCUGUAAUAUACUCCAAUGGUUGUUUGUGCGACAAGUAGUUCAUUGGUCCUUGUAACCAACAAUAGUGUCCUAUGCCUUCGAUUUUCGACCAAGCAUGAACUUCCAUGUCUUUAUUGUGCAAAUGCCCUGCAAACACUCCUUCAAGAAGAUCACCAUAGGCAAGUUCUACCUCAAAAACAAUUACUAGCGACCUGUUACUAGGUAUCCUCCAUCGUCUUUGUGGUACAAGCGGUUCUUUAUCUCAUAGUCAUCUUUGUGAGAUACUAGGUUGAGAGGACAUGAUUAUUAUGGUAUCUAUUUCUUGGCUAUGCAUAUCAGACCAAGAAAACAAGCACUAAAUAUUGAAGAAUGGACUCAGGUUACAAAUUUAUAGUUUCUAACUAUGUCUUUUAGAAGUUCCUUCUCUCCCUUCUUUGUAAGGCCGAGGAUUAAGAGGCUUCAAGGAGAAACGACUUCACUAAAAAACUUUCAUCGAAAGAGCUUAGGUUUCUAAGGAUAGCAUCAAUGAAACUCCUGUACCUUUUGCGAUUCAUUGAUAUGAUUUUCCACUGGUUCUCAUGUGCGCUUAUUGAUAUCAUAGCCACUCCAAUACAUUAGGUACUCCAAUUUUUCCCACUCACCUCGUGAAUCUAGUAUCUUUUCUACCUCAUAUUCUUCGUGGUUCUCAAUUUUAAUAUUAGGUAGUAGACAUUACACUCUUCCGGAAAAAAACGACUCUUGAUAAGGCUCCAACAAAGAAACAUGAAAGAUUGGGUGUACCUUCAUAGCAACCAGUAACUCCAGACGGUACGCCACUAGAUUGAUUUCCUUUUGGAUGACAAAUGGUCCCAAUCUCCGGUAGUCCAACUUAUCACAUGACCGCUUGGUUUUGAUAUUCCAUCAAAGCAGCCAUACUUUAUCUCCAAUUUUGAAAGUAGGUGCCUAAUUCAUAAAUUUAUCUGCGAACGCCUUGUGAGUUUCUUCGGUGGUUUGCAAUUGAAGCUUCAACAUAGUUUGAAGCUCUGAUAGUUGUUUUACAAAUCCUUCAACUACCGGAUUGUUAUUGGUUGAUAGACUCAAAAAAUCAAGCUUUGGAUGAUACCCAUAGUUAGAAAAGAAUGGUGUUUGUUGAGUCGACGCAUGAAAGGUGUUGUUAUAUACAAACUUGGCUAACGAUAGAUAUGCAGUCCAAUCAUCUUGUUGAUAAUUGAUGCUGCAUCAUAAAAACUACUCCAAAUUCAUAUGAACUUGUCAUUAUUGACACAUUGCAUGAUAUUGAGGGCUACAAAAUCUCUAAUAGUCGUAGUACGUAUCUGGUUGAGGAAGUCAACAUCAAUUGGCACUAUAGCAGAGCAAAGCCUGAAUUGUUUUGAUAUCAAGAAUGUUGUACAUUAUUGAUCAAACGCUGCUUUUCCAGCGUUUGGCGCUAGAUACAAUCUCGUUGAUAAUGCAUUGGAUAGUCCUUGUUGCUUCUCAGGCCGAUAAGUAAUAAUAAAGUCAAACCUGGAUAGCAACAUAUUCCAUCAAGCUUGACAAUAAUUUAGAACCUGAGCUGACAUGAAGUAUUUCAAAUUCUUAUCAUCCAUAUAUACGAUCACCAAAUGCGCAACUCCUUCAAGAAAGUGACGCCACUCUUGGAAAGAAUCCACUAUCGUAAGAAGUUCUUUAUCAUGGAUCUCAUAGUUGAUCUUUGCAGUAGAAAACUUUCGAGAGUAGAAUGCAACCGGAUGAAGCUUCUCGUUUGUACCUAUUUACAAAAGUACAGCUCCCAUAGCAAAAUCUAAAGCAUUGGUCUCCAAAUAGAAGGUAUUUAUAAAGUCCGGAUGUACCAAGAUUGGAGCCAUAGUAAAUGCCGUCUUAACAUCUUGAAAUUCUUUUUCUGCUAGAGGUCCCUAUUCGAGCUUGUCUUUACAUGUCAACCAAGUGAGCAGAGUAGCAACUUGAGAAUAAUUCUUGAUGAAGAUUGGAUAGAAGUUAGCAAAGCCAAGUAAACAUUGUACAUCUCUAAUCGUCUUUGAAACUUUCCAUGAUAAGAUUGCUUCCACCUUCUUAGGAUCCAUCUUCAAGCCUUUUAUAGUUGCAAUGAAUCCCAAAAAUUCCAUCUCUUUUUAGUUAAAUAAGCACUUCUCCAACUUGGCAUAAAGUCCUCGCUUGUGGAGUUUUUCAAGGACCAUACGAACAUAUUUUUCAUGCUCUUCUACGUUCUUGGAAAAUACCAAAAUAUCAUCUAGAUAGAUGACAACAAAAUCAUCAAGGUACUCUCGAAAGAUGUCAUUCAUCAUGUGUUGAAAGACUGUCGGAGCAUUGGUAAGAUCCAAAGGCAUGACAUUAUAUACAAAAUGGCCAUACCUUGUAUGGAUAAUUGUCUUCCAUUCGUCUCAUUCUUUGAUUCGCACAAGGUUGUAAGCUUCUCUUAGAUCAAACUUUGUAAAGAUCCUUGUAUGCCCAAAUUGCUCUAGAAGACCUGAUAUCAAGGGUAAUAGAUAAUGAUUCUUCUUUGUCACCUUGUUGAGACCUCAAUAAUCUAUGCACAUCCGUAGCAAGUUAUCUUUCUUCUUCACAAAUAAGAUUGCUGCAUCAACUGGCAACUUCGAAUGAUGAAUGAAGUUCUUAGCUAGAUUCUUAUCAAUAUACUUUCGCAACUCUACUAACUCCAUCUGCGACAAAUUGUAGAUUGGACCAAAAGGUGGUUGUGCUUUUUCCUAUAAGUCUAUGGCACAAUCGUAUGGUUGAUGCUUCAGUAGCAUGUCGGUAUUCUUCUUUUGAAACAUGUCUUCAAAAUCCUUAUAUUACUCCGAUAUAUUUACUAUCAAAAUCUUCUCUCUGCUAGUUGGAGUUGCAUAAAUGACAAACGGUGUAUCUUCCUUGGACGAUGUUACAAACACUCUUGCUUCAAUAAAUAAGGAUUUUUUGAUUCGGGAUCUUCUAACAGGCUUAUUCUCAGAAUGUUCUAUAGGAAAUGUCAUCCUUUGUAACCUCCAAUAUAUGCAUGGGUUAUGCAUUUCUAAUCAAGAAAGACCAAGAAUAACAGGAUUUGACGAAGUUCUAAUAAUAUUAAAAAUAAUAUAACUACUAUGAUCUUUAAAUAUCACCUCUAUAGGUUUUGAUUCAUGGGUGACACUACGAGACAAUAAAGGCCAUCCAUUUAUUAUUUCUACGUGAACAAGUUUAGGUUUUUGUACUAGAGGAAACUUAUAACGCUUAACAAAUCCUUUAUCUAAAAAAUAAGCAGAUGCUCCUGAAUCUAAUAACGCUAAGGUUUUUAGUUUCUGAGGACCAAAAGAUAGAGGAAUGGUAAAGUAAUGGACAGGCUAAGCAGAAAGAGAAGCAUCUGAUUGUUAUUGUGGUAUUGAAGCAUAGUCUUUCCUCUAUACGCUAUUUUUUUUUUCUAAAGUUAGGAAUUUGAUACGUACUGCAUCAAUUUGUAUGUCUUCCAUCUCUGAAUGUGAAUUCAGGCUACUUGUUGAUAUAGUUGGAGCGUGGUGAGCCAUAUGUUGUCUUGAGCAUUGGUCUUGGCAAUGUUGGAACAGGUGGUUAUCACACUUCACAGCUUGGCUAAUGGCUUUAUUGAGCAUUUGUGGAUUAGAAAGAGAUAAUAACAAAUCCUUCAUGUUGUCCCUCAAGCCCCAAUAAAAUUGAUUCAUCAAUGCUUCCUCGUCUCACUUGAUGUUGCACGCUAAUUGUCUGAAAUCUGAUGCAUAGACUAAUGUGGAGCGUGCCCCUUGUUGUAGUAACCGGAUCUUUGUUGUAGUCCAUCGCGCCUUGUCAUGUUUGCCAAAUACUUCCAUAAAUGCCUCCAAAAAAGUUUCAAAGUUGUUCAAAAUUGACGAUCUUUUCUCAAACAAAGGAGCAAACUAUGAUAGAGCUUGCCCCGUGAGCAAAGUUCCAACCAUUCCAACACGUGAUUCCUCCGUCAGAUAGCGUUUAGACUGUAAAGUUUUUAUUAAUCUAAUUUGAUUGGCAAAACCUCAAAACUUGGAACGCAUACCAUUGAACUUAUCUGAAAGGCUAAUUUGGGGCUUCUUUUGUUGUAAGACCAACAGUUGGUGUUGAACUAGAGGCAAAACUACUACUCUUGAUACUGAAGCUUGAGGCUGAUGAAUCUUCAAUUAUGCCAUCUAGGAUGUUCCAUCAUUAUGAAGUCUUGUAACGAUUCCUUCAAUCUCUACAGUUCUCUGUGAUAACAUAGCAAGAGCAUUCAUAAUGGCAUCCAACUUGGACUCUGAACUUUCAGUCAUACUAAUAUCUUGACCUCCGAUCAUUCUAAAAGAAGGAAAGAAAUGACUCUACAAGAUGGCAGUAUUGGUUUAGAGGAGGGUACUCCACAACUUCUAAAAUACCUUAAAACCUUCAAAAAGGGUGAUAAUCUACUUUCUCCAAGAAAGAUAAGACUCCAAUAUUAUAAUAAAAGAAAUAUCAAUUUAGAGGAGGGUAAUCCGCAACCUCUAAAAUACAAGCACCUUCAAGCAAAGGAAUAAUCCACACUCUAAGAAGAAGGAACUAGCUCUGAUAUGAAAGAUAAGUGUAGUCUCGACAAACUGUCACGAAUUUAGAAUAUUGACUAGAAAUCUAAAGAAGAAGCUCAAGAAGAAUCGGUAAGAAUUAGAUUAAUUAGAUGAGUACAAAAACAAUACUAGAGAGGUGAGCUAGAGCUCUAAGAAGUGUGUUGUCAAGACUAAAAAUCCCCUCAGUCUCAGUUCCUAUAUAUAUUAUAAGCUAGGAAGCUUCUCAAGUAGCUUCUACAAAUUAGGAAGCUUCUCAAGCAGCUUCUAUGAGCUUGAAAACUUCUCAAGUAGCUCCUACACACUACGAAGCUUCUCUAGAACAUUCUAGAAUCUUCUACAAUUUCAUAGUGUAUGUCCUUAACAGACAUACAAUCUUGAGGUAGAUGACUUCUAAAGAGAUAUUACUUCUAGAUUCACAAAAGCAAUGAAGUAAAUAAGCCUGAUGAUAUUUCAUCCUUUAUUCUUUAAUUAUACAUAUACAAGGUCAAAAGUAAUUAUUUCAUUGUCUUAAUGCAACCUUUUAUCUAACUUAUCUAUCUAUGGCAAACAAUCACAAAGAAUCAAUCAUUAUUCAUUGAAAGUUCAUGAAAUAAUGGCUAAAUAAAUACCUAUAAAUUCAAAUGCAUUAAAAAAAAUGGGACAUAAAAAUAGGUAUCAUUUAAGGAUCUCAAUUGAGCAAGUUUUUGGCAUAGAGAUGGACUUAUCCAGGUAAUAUUUUUUCAUGAUCAUGAUUUUAUUUUCAUAAAUGUUUCUAAGAGAAUUUUAAAGAGAAGACCAAUACAUUGUUUGUAAUAAGUUUGUAUAUGUUUUUUUUGUUAUAUUAGUUUUUUAUUUUUAUUUUUAUUGAACAAAAUCUCUCUAAGAAUUUUUUAAAUAUAUUUGCAUGUUGAGCUAGAGUUAAAACAUGACUUAUUCUUGUUGAUUCAUCUUAAAAUUCUUCUUCUAUAUAAUAAUAUUCUAUAUUAAUGUAUUUUAUUCUUGCAUCUAUAACUAGAUUAAUAGUUAAUUUAAUAAUUAUUAUAUUAUUAUAAAAUAUUAAAGUAGGAUAGUUUUAUUAUAUUUAUUUUUUUAAUCAAACACUUAAGAUUGUAAAAGUUAAUUACUACUUCUAUCAUGACCCUAUGUUCAACUUUUAUAGUAGAUAGUAACAUUGUUGCUUAAAACUUGCUAUGCAAGUACACUUCUUUAUCUAUAUAAGAUCUUAGAUAUUGAUCUUCUUCUAUUUAGAUUUCUAGCAUAAUUUGCAUUAAUGUAGGAUUUUUAAAGCCUCUAAUUAUUGACAAGAUAAUAGAUUUUAUAAUUUAAUAUAUCUUUUAGAUAUUUAAGUAUAUUUUUUUAUUUCCAUCAAGUAUAAUUUUUAUGGUGUAUUAACAUAUCUAGAAACUAUUCUAGUAUAAUACUUAAUAUUUAGUGUGAUGAUAGCAACAUGUAAAAAUCAUUCUAUUUAGGCACAAAAAAAGUUUAUUUUUGUUGAAAGAGAAUUCAUAUUCUAUUGUAAAGAAAUAUUUAGAUUCAAAAAUAAACUUAUAAGCUUAUAAGUUUUUUUUUUAAUUCUUUAUAGGAUUUUUUAAAUGUAGAAAAAUUUACAUUCAAAAUUCUUUAUAAAAAUUUUAACAUAAGUUUCUUCCUAUUUCAAAUAUUGAUAAUCCUAUCACCUUCCAUUUAUUUAAUAUUUUUUUUGAUCUUACAUAAUGCAGAUAUUUAUAUGUCCUAAAUAAUAAAAACAAAUCUACCAAUCACCAUGUUCAUUAUAUGCUCAAUUAUCUUCUUUUUAAACUUCUAUAAUCCAUUGAAUAAACAUUGAUUCUCUAUUUGUAUAACUAUUUCAUAUUAAUUGUUAUAAAAAAUAUAGCAUAGACCAUUUGAAAAUACAAUAAUAUUUAUUACAUUACUUAAUUAUCUUACAAAGAUUAAGUUCUUUAGAAAACAAGGCAUUUCAAGAACUUGGUCUAAUUUUAUUUUAUUAAUAAAAGAAUUUCUAACAAUUACAACUUAAUAGAUUUAUUUUCAUAUUAUUUAAACACUCUAAGUGAUUAGAGUAUCAAUUAUUCAAUCUAUCUUGUUUUAAUUACAAACAAUAUAAGUGUUAGUUGUACUAUCUAUAAAUCAAUGAGUUGUAUUUUAAACAUCAAUAAAUGUAAUUUCAAUUAAUGAAUUUUAUGAAAAAUUACUAUAAACAUGAUUUGCAUUAUAAUUAUUUCAAAAAUAUUUUUGAUAACUUGCAAUACGAUUUGUAUAUUUAUAAUUACAAUAUUUACAUAGAAGAAUAAUUUCUUUAAUAUAUCCUAUAACUAAUAGUUUGAUUGUAGAAAAAAUUCCAUAUAAUCCUUGUUGAUAUCUUCUAAUAAAUCUUCAAUAACUUUGUAUUCUUCAUCAAAAUUAAUAGCUAUGUACAUGAUAAGAGACUACUAGUAAUUCUUUUGUUCUAACCUAUUUUUUUGUAGUUGUAACUUGAUUACUUGCAAUUAAUAUUCUUUCAAUUAUAUCUUCAAAUAUUAUCAUGUUUUAAUAUGACUAUUGGAUAAAAAAAUAAAAUAUUAUUACAAAAGAAUUUAAUUUUAAAUAUAAUAAAAAAUUACUUUAAACUCAUAUGUAAAAAUUAAGAAGUUAAUAAUAAAAAUUUAGUGCUAAUAUUUUCUUUUGAUGAAUUUUUUUUAUUACUUUUUAAGGAAUAGUCAAGAAAAAAGUAUAUUAUUAAAAAUAAUAUUAUAAGCAUCUUUAUGUAAAAAUAAGAAAUAAAUUUUAUCAAAAUUUACUUAAAAAAACCUUACAUUAAUAUUCAAAGAAAAUUAAUUGUGAAUUUGGAUCAAAAUCAGACCUUUGAAUACAAAAUUGCAUAUCUAUAGCAAACAAAAGUUUUUUUUUGUUAAUCCAAAAAGAUAGUUGGAGAGUAGAAUUGAUAGGAUUUUUUAGAGCAUUGGUUUUGAGGAAAAUAAAUACAUAACAACUUUGUUAGAGCUUUAAAAAAUUAAGGUUGCUUUAGCUUAUUCUAUUUUUUUUGGAAUAAAAAAGUGGUUAUAUUUUGAUGAAUUGGCUAAGUUUUGUAGCAACUGUAUAAAAAAAAUUCGAGGAUUUAUAAACAUAAUUUUUUUGAAUUAUUUUUGUAAUAUUUUAGAUUUAAUUAAAUAAUUAGAUUAAAAUUAAUUAAAAUUCAUGUGAAUUAGAAUCUUAGAAAAUUGGAUUUUGAAGAUUAGUAAAAAUUUCUACAAUUUUGAUAAAUUUUCUAAUUAAAUUGAAGUGAUUUUAUUUUACAAUAAUAGCUGAUUUAAUUUCCAACAUUAAUAAUUUUUUUGAAAAUAAAUGAAUGUUUCAAAAGAAAGUUAUUGGGGCUAGGAAGUUUAUAGAAAGUGAAUGAAGACAAAAUAAUAUUAUAGGAAAUUAAGAGCAUUUUUUUCCAAUUUCUAAGUUUGAUUCUUUUUAAAUUUUAUAUACUUAUUAUCAAUUAAUAGAAUAAAAAGUGUAAAAAAUUUGAAGCAAGAUUAAUGAUUAAAGUAAUAACAUUUUGAGAUUUUGAAUAUUUUAUAGAAUUUAUAUUUGAUUUUAUUAAGGUUUGAUUAUGAUUUUUUUAGAUUUAUUAAAGAAUUAAUUAGGUUUUAUUAGAAUUUAUUUAAAAUCAAUUUAAAUUUUUUUAUGAUUUUUUAGGAUUGAUUAGGAUUUUUAAAGAUUGUUUAAAUUUUAUUUGGAAAUGAUUAUAAACAGAUAAGGUUUUUUGGGGAUUUUUUUCUAAUUGAUAAGGAAUAUUUAGUAUAAUUAGAUGCUUAAUUAGAUUUUUUAAGGUUUCUAAGAUGGUAUUUCUAAAUACCUUAUGUAUUAUUUUGGGUUGUAAUUCUAACUUCAAGAUGAGAUAUGAUCCUUCUACAACCAAAUGUUUAAUAUCUUCAUAAGUUGAUUUUCACAUAAAACAACAACAUAAGAAUAUUUAUGAAUUAAACAUCCUUAAUCACUAUAUUAUAAAUUCUAUGCAAGUCAUUAAGUAUCACAUUAAUUAUCAUAGAAUCUUAAAUUAUUUUUUCCAAUAUUAUCAUCUUAUUCUUAAUUUCUUGUAUUUCACCAAUAUAAUUCUUCAUCAAUUUUUCUUCCUUUAUCUUGACAUUGUCUUAUUAACUAAUUAGUAACAUUACUUCUUAUUGUUCUUCAAAGAGGUACAUGUAUUUAAGUAGGUCCAAUGCAUCAAUAAGAUCCUUUACUUUUAAUAUUGCAAUAAUAAGAUCAUCUUUAACUAAUAGAAUUAGAGCUAAUUAUAUAGUAUUUUUUUGUAUCAAUUAAUUAUUUUUUUGUAAAUGACUUAUAUUUUAUUGUACUAAAAAAUAAGUUUGGAUCUUUCAAUGUCUCAAUCAAUAGUAUAAUCUUUAACUUUUAAAUAAUAUUUUUAUCUUCAAUUUCCAAAUGUAAUAAUUAUUUAUCUUUAUAAAUUUGUUCACUUCUUUAAUCUCUAAUAAUCAACAUCUCUUGGCCAUGCUGCAAAGCUUAUUAGAUGAUAAAGUGAUUGUUUUGACUAUUAUCUUCAAAAUUUCUCUAAAAUUUGUUGAUUCUUCUUUAGUUUCAAUCUCUUUUUUAAUAAUUGACAUAACAAAUUAAAAGAAGUGAAGCUAUUUUAGAUUACAGAAACAUCAAUUGAGAUGUAUAACACACUUCACUACUAAAAAUUAUAUCACCUUUAUCUAAUAUCACUAUAAUAUCAAAAAGUUGACUUAAACCAAGAUGGUUAUUUUACUUCACCUUCUAAAGAUAAGAAAUGGGGUUGGUACAAAUCUUAUACAGCCUAAUAAGAUUAUAAAAUAAUUGCAAUUGUAGAACUAAGUGGGAUUUUUAUGUUAGCUUGCUUUAAUAUAAUAAGGACUACCUAAACUAUUUUAGUGUGUAUUUGGAUAUACUUCUUUAAGAUUGAAUUACAUAUUAUUUGUGUCUUAUGAAUAUUUUUCAUCUAUAUAUGAGGUUGUUCCAUUUUUGAGGCUCCUUGCUUUUAAGACACUGUCUACCUCUUAUGAAAUUCUAGCCUUAUAUGCAUCUUCAAAGGCCAUCUUAUAUAGUUGUUUCUAAUUGGUCAAGACCAAAAGUAUAACAAGAUGUUUUUUUUUUUUGAUAAAAACAUUGGAUUCACAUUUGUAGAAACAUAUAAAAACUCAAUAUUAUGCAUGAAAGGAAAAAAUCUUAUCAAUAUAUCUUGCUUUGAUUGCUUGUAGCAAAAUCCUAAGCUAAAAGAUUUAGAAAUCACUGAAAAGAUUACAAAAUUUUGAUGAAUGAUUAGGCCAUAAGAUUCAUCAAUUUAUCAUGACAUAUGACAAAAGAAAAAUUUGAACACAUUGUUGAUAAGUUCUACAUGGUUGCAACCUGAUAUUAGUAAGCAAUGGCCUUUGAAGACGUCAUGUGCUAAAGAAAUACUUCCACAAUACUCAAAUCGUAUCAAAGAAGGAUAGAGUUCAAUACUACUCUUAAAUUAGGCAAGAAUAGCAUGAAAUAUUUUAUCUAAUACUUCCUUAAAUAAAAAAAAAUUAAAGCUAACCAUUGUCAUAUUAUACAGUAUUACUUGCUCCAGCUCAAAAAUUCUACAUCCCACUAAUAUUAAUUUUUUGAUAGAAAUUAUAAUUUUUUAGUAACUUGGCUACAAAAAUCAAUUGUUUGACAAAAAUACUAUCUUACACAUACUCAAUAGUAUAUUGUGGUAGUAUUUAUACCAAAUUUACAAGGAUUUUCUUCUCUUAGAAAGAUGUUAAGCCACAGCUCUUCAAUUCAAGACAAGGUAUCCACUGAACAACUUCAAUAUUUGAUAUAGUAAUGUCCACAUCAUUCCAAGCAUGGCCAAUCCACUAUUCUCUAGCAACUAGAAUGUGAAUCAUGACAACUACUUUAUGUUUGGAUUUUAUCAUAUCUUAAUGUCAUUUUGAGACAAACAAGUGCAUUAUUGUAUAACAACCUUGCAACACACUAAUGAGGGCUUCUUAAAGUAAGGAUUAAUAUUAUUUGAUAAAAUAUAUAAACUUGCCAACAUUGAGCUUCUGUAAAGCUAUUAGAAUGCCUAUUCCAUCAAAAUAAUCUUCAAAAAUUUCUAGUAAGAUACUUUGUACACUAUGUCAUCAUUUCCUUCCAAAGCUAAAUAGUUCAUUGUAUCUAAGGCCCUUACAAAUACAAUGGGUUUCCAUUUGAUAUCUUAUCCUACCACAAAAGGAUUCUCUAUAAUCAUGACCUUUCAGCCAUCAUUGAUGCCGUCUUACUUUGAUACAACAACAUCAAUCCAUCUCUUAGCAACAAUUCUACUAAAUCUUUAUGAAUUCCUAAUUUCUAUGAUACUACAAUAACAUACUAUUUUUUUUUCAAAAAUCAAGUCGUUCACAAGCUUCAACAUGUCAUGGCCAUAAUGGAUAGUUUUUUGCCUUUUAAAUCAUCACAUGUAGUUAUACUCUUAUUAAAACUUGUUUCUUUUUUUUUUUAAGCCAUAACUCCUUAUAAAUCAAUAUUAACAAACUAUUAGUGCUAUCUUUUAAAAAAAAUUCCUUAAGAGAUCAUUACUUGGCCUUUAUUUGCAACUUUACUACUACAGCUAAUGCUUAUCAAAUCUUAGAUAUGUAUAGAAUAUCUUAAUAUUGUACUAUUCUAUUUGAUAAUGCAUAGGACUUGUUUGAAUCUUGCUUCAACCACAAUAUCCCAUUCACUUAGGCAUAUGUCUAGCAAAUGAGAAAAAUAUUAUUUAUUCCUAUGGAUAAAUAUAAUUUACUUUAGAAUUAUCUAAAAUAUACCAGAUAUCAUCAUAGUGAAAAUCUAGAUCUAUAUUUUUCAAGGUUCAUGUACCAUGCCAAAUUCACCAUUAGUAAUGACAACAAAGUCAUGAUAAAAGUGGCAUCUCAAUACUUUAUUAAUCACUUUCAUCUAAUUUAAUGUAUAAAAUUAGUAUCAAUGUCUUUUUAUUUGAUAAAGCUAUGUUUUGGUAUUUCAAUGUUUGCCUUCAAUAUUUUGGACUUACCACCACAAAGUCACAAAAAUAUAGAUAUGCCAUCUUUAUAUUCGCCUCGAUCAUUAUCUUAUCUAUCAAUAUUAUUCUAUAUUAAGGUGAAGACUAUGUGCAUCACUAUGAAUUUGAUGAAGAAAAUAUCACACUAAAGAGCCUUUCCAAACAAACAAGUCUUCUACAAAAUGAAACUUGAUAGUUAAAAAUUGAAGCUCUAAAAGAAAUCCCAAUAGGAAGUAGUUAUAAGCAAAAGACCUACCCUUGUUUUAUUUGUGAUAUACUCAAUUACAAUGCAAUGUUAUGCCUCCUUAGACUAUUCAUGUUCAAAUGAUUAGGUGACAUGAGACACAACCUUGAAGCUCAAAUUACAUCAUGUAGUUAUUUAAACAAGGCAACACAAUCCUAAAUGGUCAAGAUGUGACAAUUAUUAUAAGUCUAUCCAUUAUAAUAUCCAUAGCAUUUUUUUAGCUUAAUUAUUCCUCUCUCUAUAAAAAAACAUCUUUCAAUUUGACUAUAGAUUGUUUUGGAGUAAAUUUAAGAUAUUAAUAGGAUUUUGAUCAUUGAUACUAAUUGCAACAUGAUUAUUGAUGCUAAUUAUAGUUAAUAUUAAGACUAAUUGAUGCUAUUGUAAGUACAAGUAAUGUAAUCCUUCUCAGCCUUAAUUAAAUGGCUUAAAUCUCUUACUUGCUAAAUAUUAUCAAUCGUUGCAUGACUCUUCAUUUUUAUAAUGUUGUACUACAAAUGGUCUCUCUAGCCAUAGUAAUCAUAGUACUAAGAUUGACCGUAGCAUCACCACCUCUAAAACUUUCCAUUGAUCUAUUCCACUAUAUAUGGUCUCACUUCAACAACUUUCAGCCAUCUAAUGAUUGCUUUUAUAUAUAGAUGCUUUCCAUACUAAGACAAAAGAUCUAACUACUUAUACUAAUUUUGUAGCCUUCUAUCUUAAUAUAUACAAUUCAAGCAUUUAUCAUUCCUCUUUUCUUACAACAUCUUUACCAAAUCAAUAUAGUCCUAGCAUAUCCUGCUAAUCACUUUAUGUAACAAACAUAUACAUUUAUUUCAAUAAUUACUUAGAUUAUUAGAUAGAAGUAGAUAAAUAUAUAUUAAUUUCAUAAAAUCUUCUAAGGAAGCUUGAUAGAUGCAGUUUUGACUUUAGAUGUAUUUGUAGGUUAGAAACUUGGACAACAAGUUAAUCAUGUAUUGGUAGCUUAUAGAACAAGUUAAUUUCAUGUAAUAGCUUAUGGAACAAGCUAACCAUGUGGCACAUACAUAAAUAACUUGUCUUGCAAGUUAAGACAUGUGGCUAGUAAAGUCAAUACGUUUUGGAAAUCCUAUAGGAUAUCACCACGUAGCUCUUAGUUAACAGUAUAUAUGGAGAUAAGAGAAGCCUUCUUCACUCUUGUGAAUGCCACUCUAGUCCUUAGUCUUGUUUUAAGACUUUCUAGUUUUCUUGUUUUUAGCAAUAGCCAUUCUAGUUAAUAUUAUAUUAUCUUUUGAGUGACUUUCUAAUUCUCUUCAGUGAUACAAGAGUGUAUCAAGGAUUCUCUUUUUUAAAGAUUCAUGUCCUUAAUACUACAUCAAAUUUUAAUCUUAGCAAUAAUUGUCCAAACGGUGUUACGCCAUGACCACAUAUAAUAUUUAUAAUUGACAUUAUUGAAGAUAAAUCACAAUAUUAGUCACUUAUAUAUCAUUAUUGAAGAUAAAUCAUAAUAUUGGUUUAUAUGAAAACUGGUGCAACAAGGACAGACAUAUAAUCAUCUUUGUUGUCAAAUACUUUAAAUUAUAUUAGUAUGGUUCAAAAUUCUUUUUCAAAACAAAUCAUAUUUUUUUUUGGCAUUAAUGAAGUUUCAUAAGCUUAUUAAAUGCCUUGUAUGUUGGACGUUAUUUUUUCAAUUAUAAGAUAGUACAAUCAUAUUUAAGUCCAAAUAUUUAUACACAAACAUAGAUGUCUUUACUUGGAUGGAGUUCAUGAUGUUCAAACUUUAUUCCAUAUUCAAUAAUCUUGAUUAUAUUUCUCAAUUAAAUUAUUUUUUCAAAAAGCUAGAUCCUGACAUAUCCUAGUGUCUUAUAAUCUUCACAUAAUAUCUGUUCUCCUAGUAGGAGUCCAACGCAAUGGCACUACACCUCCUUGCUCAUAUAAAAAGAUACAUUAUGUGUUUAUUUAAUGAUUUGAUUGGUGCUUCAAAGACCUUUGGGAUAUAUAUAUAUAUAUAUAUAUAUAUAUAUAUAUGUGUGUGUGUGUGUGUGUGUGUGUGUGUAAUAAAAUAUAGUCACAAGAUUAUUUUUUUUAGUAUAGAAAGUUUCAAAAAAUUGAUGAUUUCAUAUUGAAAUUGAUUGUUGUAAUAGUUAACUAACGUGUACAACACAGAAAAAUACAAAGAUAGUCUCAAGGACAUGGAUUUUAAAGAAAGAGAAUCCUUGAUACACUCUUGUAUCACUGAAGAGAACUAGAAAGUCACUCAAAAGGUAAUAUAAUAUUAAUUCGAAUGGCUAUUGUUAAAAAUAAAAAGACUAGAAAGUCUUGAAACAAGACUAACGACUAGAACGGCAUUGAUAAGAGUAAAGAAGGCUUCACUCUUGCCUCUAUAUAUACUCUUAACUAGGAGCUACAUGGUGAUGUCUUAUAGGACCUCCAAAACACGUUGACUUUGCUAACCAUACGUCUUAACCUGCAAGAUAAGUUAUUUAUAUAUAGACCACAUGGUUAGCUUGUUCUACAAGCUAUAAUGUGGAAUUAACUUGUUCUAUAAGCUAUUAUGUAGAGUUAACUUGUUCCACAAGCUAACAAUAUGUGGUUAAAUUAUUGGCCAAGUUUCUGACCUACAAACAUAUCUAAAGUCAAAAUCGUGUCUAUGAAGUUUCUUAAAAGCUUCACUAAAAGACUUUAUAAAAUUAAUCUAUAUUUAUCUACUCUUAUCUAAUCAUAUAAGUAGUUAUUAAAAUAAAUGUAUAUGUUCGUGAUAUUAUCUCCUUCUAGGAACGAGUUCUACCAAGAGCAGUCUUCAUAUGUUGAGGAAGUCCAAGAUACAACGAAUUAUAUUUUCCACAUAUUCUGAUCUUUGCUCUCUCUAAAGAUGGUUGAUAGGCCCUCUGAGCUAUCAAAAAUAUCCCAUACUAGGACGAGAAGACCAUCCUAUUAUUUAGUGAUUGUUUAGGCCUUUGUAACUUCCUUCAAAUAAAAUAUUUGGAACACCGUCAAGAGUUGUUCCUACCUCUAAUAAAAUCACCAAAUAGCAGGAGUCUCUUGUAAGGUUGUGAUAUCAAAUACAUUAUAUCUUGCCAUCUAUUCAAGGAACGACAUGUUAUUCUUAAGGAUCUUCAUUUCAAUUCUGUCAUCUUAAAGAUUGUGACAAUUGCAAUGUCUCAUUUGAUAUAUCUACAAAUGAAAGUUCUUAAGUUGAAUCUAUUGGUUGUUGGUUUUCCAUCUUCUUAGUGAAACAAAUACAUAUAAGCUACAAAGACAGAUUGAAUGUAGAAUGUUAUUUUCUUUUGAUUUUGUUACUUUUAUAGCAAAGAUUAGUUAUUCUUUAUCUUGGUUUUGAUAGAUUUUGUUGAUGAAAAAUUUCAACUUUCUUUUCUAAAUUUAUAAGAUUCUUUAAUGGCUUCCAUGUGCAUUCACUAAUAUCAUAUUCACGUUAAUGAACAAGAUAUUCCAACCUAUUUUGGUGGCACCUUGAGUCUAAGACUUCUUCCAACAUAAACUCUUGAUUAUUAUCUACUUCUAUAGGAUGAGGUGGCAUUUGUCUUCUUUCCAAAAUAUUCACUAUCUUAUAUGGCUCAAAUAAAGACAUGUGAAAUAUAAGGUGGAUCUUCAUAGAUUCCAAUAGAUAUAAUCGAUAAGCAAUAGGGGUGAUUUAUUUACAAAUAAAAAAAGAUCCUAGCAUAUGAUAGUCUAACUUAUCACAAAAACGAAUAGUCUUGAUAUUGCGACAAAAUAAUCAUACCUUAUCACCUAUAUUGAAUUGUGGUUGCACUUUGUGAUAGGCAUCCGCAUUGGUCUUUUGCCAUCCUUGAGCUUUUUUUAAUUGUAUCUUCAUUGUUGCAUGUAGCUCUGACAAAUAAUUUACUAAAUCUUUUGUCACAGGAUUAUCAACCUUUGAAAAGUCAAAAGUAUCAAGUCAUAGAUGAUAAUAAUAAUUAGCAAAAAAAAAUCUUUGUUGAGUAGAAGAAUGCACUAAAUUAUUGUAUGCAAACUCUACCAAUGGCAAAAGAGUUGUGCAAUCAUCUUGAUGAUAGUUGAUAGUAUACCUCAAAUAUUAUUCCAAAAUUUGAUUCAUCCAUUUUGUUUGUCCAUCAAUUUGAGGAUGAAAAGCCAAAAAAAGCUUUAUAUCCAUCUUUAGAAUCUAGAAUAAGGUUCUUUAGAAACUUGAUACAAAUUGAGUUUCCUUAUUCAAUAUAAUAUUCUUUGUCAAUCUACGAUAGCGAUAGAUAUUAUCAAUAAAAAAUUUAGUUGUUUCUUCAUGUGAAAUAGAUUUUGUACAUGGUACAAAAUGUGCCAUUUUGGUGAAGGGAUCUACAAUUACAAAUACGGAAUCAUGUGAAUUUGAGAAUGGAAGAUUCAUGAUAAAAUCCAUAGAAAUAGAAGACCAUUGUUGUUAAAAAAUAGGUAAUAGUUGAAGUAAUCCAUAAGGUUUAUAGCGAGGAGUUUUGAAUCUUGAACAAAUAGCACAUGAUUGUACAAAGUCUUUUAUCGCCUUCUAUAUUUGUAGCCACCCAAAAUCUCUAGAUACAAGCUGUAAAGUCUUGUUGUAUUUAAAAUAUCAUGAAGUUGGAAAGUCAUGAUGUGCUUGAAGAAUAUAUAAACAUGCUUCUCUUUCUAGAACAUAUAAGCAUCCUUCAAAAUAGAGAAGGUUGUUCUUGAACUCGAACUUUGAAAUAUCAUGAGAAUUAGAAGAAAGAUUCUUGAUAUCAUAAACAAAAGGAUUAGAGGACAUACUUAAUUGGAUUUGCUUGAUAAAGGUUGAAUCAAUAGUCAAUGUUGAUUUAAUUACUCAAAGAUGAAAAUGCUCGGGCUUUAAGAGAAUCCUUCUUUGUUGAUCAAAAGAUGCAUCUCUUUCUUUUGGUGCAAGAUAAGAACAACUAAAAAAGACAUUGAUAAACCUUGUUGUUUUUUGGAUUGAUAAGUGAUCUUGAAAUUGAAUGUAGAUAAAAACAUGCUCCAACGGGCUUGAUGACAAUUCAAAAUACAUGUUGACAUGAAGUAUUCAAGGUUCUUAUGAUCCAUAUAUAUAAUAACUAGACUUCAAGCACCUUCUAGAUAAUAACACCAUUCUUGAAAUGAAUCCAGAAUUGCAAAGAGCUCUUUGUCAUGGAUCUCAUAAUUAAUUUCGAUUGCUGAAAAUUUCCUCAAAUGAAAAGUUAUUAAGUGGAAUAUAUCAUUUGUUCCCAUUUUUGACAACAUGGCACCCAUAGCAAAGUUUGACGCAUUUAUUUUCAUAAAAAAUACCUUAGAAAAGUCAAUGCAAUUCAAGAUUGGUGUAGAAGUAAAUUCUUUAUUUAAAGCAUCAAAUAAUGCUUGUACUUCUUUAUUCUACUCAAAUUUGUCUUUAUAAGUCAAACAUGUAAGUAGAGCUGCAACUUGAAAAAAGUUCUUGAUGAAGAUUUGGUAGUAAUUAGCAAAGCCUAAAAAGCAUUUCACAUCUUAUAUUAUUCUUUGAAUCUUUCAAUCUAUGAUAGUUUGGACCUUCUUGAGAUCCAUCAUAAGGCCUUCAUUGGAAAUGAUGUAUCCUAAAAAAUCAACUUGAAUAGUGUGGAAUACAUACUUUUUCAACUUGGCAUAUAAUCAUAUAUUUCUAAGUUUUUGUAACACACGACAAAUAUAAAGUUCAUAUUUUUUUGUAUUCUUAGAGUAGAUUAGAAUGUCGUCUAAAUAGCAAAUGAUAAAAUCAUUUAAAAACUCACAAAAAACAUCAUUCAUAAGAUGUUGAAAAGUGGCCGGUGCAUUUGUGAGUCCAAAAGGCAUGACAUUAUAUUCAAAAUGUCCAUACCUAGUUCAAAAAGUAAUCUUCUAUUCAUCUCUUUCUUUGAUACAAAAUAAGUUGUAUACUCUUUGUAGAUCUAUUUUGGUAUAGAUCUUUGCUUGAUUGAGUUGGUCAAGAAGUCUUAAAAUCAAAGAUAAAGGAUACUUAUUUUUGAUGGUGAUCUUAUUGAAUCCUCGAUAAUCUAUACACAUCCGUAGAGAUCCAUCUUUCUUCUUCACAAAUAAGAUAGAAGCUUCGGCUUGGGAUUUAGAAUAGCACAUGAAGUUCUUUGCAAAGUUUUUAUCAAUGUACUCCUUUAAUGCAGCCAAUUCAUUCUACAAUAAGCUAUAGAUUGGUACGAAUGGUUGUUGAGCUCUUUUUUGUAAAUCAAUUGAAAAAACAUAAGGUCGGUGCUUUAAAAGCAUAUUUAUAUUUUUCUUUUAAAAAAUGUCUUGAAAUUCUUCAUAUUGGCUAGGAAUAUCACUUGCAUUUUUUUUCACCAUUAAAAAUGGGUAUAGUAUAAAUAACAAAAGAUGAUUCUUCUUUUGCAGCAUCCAUGAAAGCUCUCACACUUAUUAGUAAAGGUUUGGAAGUACUAGACUUUUGUAUUUCUACUUUGCUAACUCAAUCUUAGAUUAUACUACCAAAAAAGUUAAGGUUACGAGAAAUCCAAUUUAUUUGAGAGUUACAUUUUUCUAGCCACAAUAAUCCUAAAAUAAUCACAUUUGAGAAAGAUCUUAUUACAUUAAAUACUAUUAUGUUUUUAUUAUCUUUAAUUGUUACAUUUAAAGGAAUAGUGUCAUGGAUAAUAUUUCUAGAAAACAACAAAUGACCAUCUAUGACUUCUACAUGUACGGAUUUAAUUUUUUUGACUAAAGGUAUUUUUUGAUUUUUGAUAAAAUCUUUGUCUAUAAAAUAGGCUGAGGCUCUUGAAUCUAAUAAGGGAAGGACUUUGUGAUUUUUAGGUCCUAAAUGCACAUCUAUUGUAAAACAAGGUGAGGGAUCUGAGGAGAGAAUAGGACCUUUACUAGAUGUUAUACAAGAUUCCAGCCACACAAUCUCUAUUAUAGCUAGAGAAAAUUAUUUUUUGAUAUAUUAUCUUCUUUGAUAAUUGUUCUCCUCAUUUUGUAUUUGCGUUGUUUCUUUGGAUAAUAUUGAGUAGUAAGCUUAGCUUCUCCUUAGUAUAAAUACAAACCUUCUUGGCGACCUCAAGACUUUUCUUGCUCUGUGAGAGUUUUAAAACGUAUUGUAUCAAUUUGCAUUGAUUCCAGCCUUGAUGAAUAUGUUUCAAAAAACUUAGAAGCUGCCGCUAUUACUUAACUUAUUCUUCUCUAAUCAAGUCUUUGUUCUUCAUGCCUUUGAAAUAAUCAAUUGUCGCAUGCAAUGCCUUAAGUAAUAAAUUAUUCCAAAGAUUUUAUUUUUGGCAUUAUUAAUAAAAAAAUAUUUGAUAUUAUUCUUUAAUCCAUAUCAAAAUUGAUUGAUGAGUGUUUUGUCAUUCCAAUCCACAUUACAAGCAAGGUUUUGGAAUUCAGCAGCUUAUGUGGUGGUUGAUCAUGAUUCUUAUUAUAAAGAUAAGAGUUUGGUCUCUGCUACUUAUUCUCAAUUACUUUCUCCAAAUGUCACCAUAAACACUUCUAGAAAUGAAUUCAAAUCAUAAAAGAGUCGUGAAUCUUUUUUUUUUAUUAAAGAUGCAAACCAAGAGAGAGUACUUCCUUAUAGAAGUGCUCUCAUGAAUCCAACUUGAGUAAAUCCAUCAGGAUAAUGAAAAGGGUGCAACCUUAGAUAGAACUUGACUUAUUGCAAAAAUCUUUAAAAUUUUGAUCUUCUUCCAACAAACUUCUUAAGUAUACUAAUUCUUAUCUCUGUCAUACUUGUAGAAGCAAAACUCCUUGGAUUUCGUUGUGAGGUCGAUCUACUUGCUUCUUUCAAUUACACAACUUCUUACCAUAGACUUUGAACUUCUUUCAUAGGUGUAGGCAUAGUACUUUUAUAAUUCACAUUAAAAAUAUGUAAAAUUUCCAUUCUAAGAGUGUUAAUAAGUUCAUGAAGAUCUGCAAUAGUUGCAAAUCUAUUCUCACUUCUACUAGGUGUAGCAUCCACAAUCUUUCCUUUAAUAGAUAAUUCAAACAAAUCUAAAAAAUUAAAUUAUAGGAGGAUAAUCCGCAACCUCUAAUAAAAAUUUCUGCAAAGAGGGAUAAUCCACUUUCUUUAAGGAAAGAUUGGUAUUAAAAAACAAUAUCUUUUUGUUUAAAAGGUAGAUAGUCUACAACCUUCAAAAUACAACAAUAAAAGUGUGGUAAUCUACUCACUUCUAAAAUAAGAUAAAAAUAGUAUAUUAGUAUUCUUAUCAAAUUGUAAAGGAUAUAAAUUUUAAAGAAAGAGAAUCUUCAAUAUACUCUUGUGUCACUAAAGACAACUAGAAAGUCUCUCAAAAGGUAAUGUAAUAUUAGUUAGAAUGGCUAUUGCUAAAAAUGAGAAGAUUAGAAACUCUUGAAAUAAGACUAAAGACUAUAAUGGCAUUGACAAGACUAAAGAAGGCUUCAUUCUUGCAUCCAUAUGUACUCUUAAUUAAGAGCUAUAAGGCUAUGUCCUGUAGGACUUCCAAAACAUGUUGACUUUGUUAGCCAUAUGUCUUAACUUGCAAGGCAAUUUCUCUAUGUAUGAGCCACAUGGUUAGCUUGUUCCACAAGCUAUUAUGCGGAAUUAACUUGUUGGCCAAGUUUCUGACCUACAAACACAUCUAAAAUCAAAACCACCUCUAUGAAGCUUCUAGGAAGCUUUACUAAAAGACUUUAUGAAAUUAAUCUCUAUUUACUUACUUCUAUGUAAUCAUAUAAGUAAUUAUUGAAAUAAAUAUAUAUAUGUCCAUAUUAAAUAGAUACUCCCAACUCCAUCCUUGACAAUGAAAUUACUUUAUGUAUAAUGUGAGCUUACAACAUGGAAUCAGCAUUGUAUGAUGCACUCAUAGAUGCUUAUCAGAUUGGCUUCAUUGCCACUACUUUAGAUUGAAUCUUGGCAAAAAAAAAUAAGGUAUCAUUUCUCCUAAUACGUCAUGCAAGAUGGUACCUUCUUCUUUAGAAAAUCCAUUUUUAAGGAAAUCCUUAUUUUUUAAGUUUUUAAGGCUUUUAUACUUCUACAAAUAUUAGAAUUAUUUCAUACAACAUAUUCUAUGGAAUACUUUGUGAUAUGUCUUACUUUCAAAUAUUUAUAAAAAAUUUAUCAUUAGAUUAGCAAUGUAGGAAAUAUUACACAAUUCAUCAAGAAUUACUCAAGUUAUCAAGUAAAUUAAAUACAUGAUAAAAGUGUCAAAUUAUGAAUUUUGACUUUUAUCUUCAUUUCAAAGACAUUUGCUCUAAUAGGCAUGGACAUCAUAGAAAUUUUUUCAAAAUAGAGAGAAUUUACGUCAAGAAAGCAUUGGACUUUUAAGUAUCACUACUUACUCAAUUAAGUCUCAAGAUAAGAAAGUACCAAGUUUAUAUAUAAAAUUAUUUUUAUAGUGGCAAUUACAUCAAUAUAUAAGCCUUAAGUACCAAAGAAUAUCCAAAAUAUGAUAAAACUUAUAAUCGGACCAUCCAAAAAGACUCAAAUUGUACAUAAAGUACUCAUGUGCUUUAAAAAAAAUACCAAAACAAAUUUCAACCUCAAAUUCAUUACAAAUAUAUAUAUAUAUAUAUAUAUAUAUAUAUAAUUUUCUUCAUAUUUUAUAAAUUAAUUAUUUAAAUAUCAAAAAAAUUGAUAUAUAUCUUUUCAACCUAAUAACUCACACUUUUAGAAAUUUUGAGCUAAAAAUUCAUCCAAAUACUCAAGAUAUGGCUCCAACCAUUGCUAUCAAUAAAAUGGCUUACUUACUACCAUUGAAUUACUUGUGUUUUCUUCACUUUCUAUAACUCCUUCAUAUAAACUUUAAAUGUAAUAAUUCUUUCAUAAAAGACGUAGGUCUUAAAAUUGCCCUUACAACCACACUUCUUCAUUUCCAAAAGCUAUUGUACAACUUCUAAUAUUCUAAAAGAGCAACAUUAUAUCUUAAAAGACCCCUUGACUUCAAAUUGCUAUAACUUCUUCAUCCUAAUUCCAAAGCUUUUAAAUUUUGUGCAAAAAUUGUAGCGCAAACUCUAAACGAUACAAUUCUUACUUCUAAUUAUCAAAUGCUUCUUCUAAAGUUGCUAAAAUCCUUGUUAUGGUUGCAGAUAGCCUGCUAAAAUCCUAUUAGUCAUGAUCUUUGACUAACAGAGAUAAAGACCUUCACUUCUUACCUUCAUCCAUUCAUAUCUUAUUUUUAUUCCUCCAAAUAAGCUUCUUAGUAGUUUGGAUCUUCAUCUUUGAGCUCUAAUCUUCUCUUAAAAUUUUAUAUUAAAUAUCUAAAUCUUAUAUAAUUUAAAACACUAUAAUCAAAAUAGAUAAACAUGAAAAUAAAUUUUCUUAUAUCAAUUCUCUUUAAAUUAACUUACUAAUUAUUCUAAUAUACAUUGAGACUUAUAAAUAUAUUAUAUGUUCUAAUUAAUUUUUUCAUACUAUAAACAAUUAUAGUACAACAUCAUUGAAAACUACCAUGGAAGGUCACUGAUUUAUAGUGGUGGCGACAUGUUACCUCACAAAAUAGAUAGAGGUUUGGACAUUGGAAUCAAAGAAAUGCAAGAAGGUGGCUUAAUUCUUCUUUGAUUCUAUCAUGAUGCAGCAAAGUAGUCCCAUUAAAAUAUUAACUGACAAUAAGAGUAAAUUAUGUAAUAUAUUAAUAGACGUCCUAACUAUUCAUUUAUGCAGCAAAUACACAACUACAUCUUCCAAUCAUCUCCAAUACAAUAGAUUGACAAAAAUAUUUAAUUACAUGCUCUACUUGUUGAUCAAGAAGAAGAGUGACUAUAAUUAACAUUGGCAUACAAUAUUGUCUACCAUUGUGUUUACCUACCACACAAGUAUUCACUCAAGCACGAAAUCUCACCCUUUGAAAUGUUAUAUGGAUAAAAACCUUGUUUAUUUAUUGUACCAAUAGACUCAAUGGUCUACUUCAAUAUCACAAUCAAUUGUGCACCCAUGACAAUAUCAGCAGAGCUCAACAUUUGCAAAAAUAAAGACACGACAAGAAUGUAACAUAUACGAGAACAUUCAAUGUUGGUGAUGUGGUAUUGUAUCGCAACAAAAAAAGGUAUGAGAACUGGGGCAAAUUUUGGACCAAGUUGAGAAGGUCUUAUCGUGUGAUAGCAUCUAAUGAGGAGAAGCAACAGUUUUACCUGCAACCGAUCUGCUCUGAAACCUUACCAAUGUUGUUCCAUGUUCCAAGUUUUGACUUAGUGCAUUGUAAUCAAAACUACGACCUUACCAACAUCAAUCUGGUUGGGUGCAAUAUUCAAUGUACACCAAAGCAGUCCAUGGCUGGAACAAACUCAUGACUUAAUUUUUUCCGAAAGGAGGAGUCCCUCUACAUAUGUAGAAAUAAGAAAUGGGCUUGGCACAAAUCUUAUGCCGCCCAAUAAGAUUACAGAGAAACCGCAAUUGUAGGACUAAGUGGGGUUUUCAAGCUAGCCCUCUUCAAUACAAAAUGUCUGCUCGAACUGUCUCGGCAGGUAUUGGGGUGCACUUGUCUAAGGUAUUGUUUGUGUGUUGCGAUUGUUUUUCAUCCACAUAUGGAGUAGUUCCUUCGCUGAGGCUGCUUGCUCCCAAGAUGUUGCCUGCCCCUGGUGGGAUCCCAAUCUUCGAGUCCAUCUCGUCCAGUCGCCUCCUAUUGGUCGAGACCAGAAACACAACGGGCCAUUUCUUCCCUCUACAGACCUAAACCGAAGUCCCCUUCAAUACUAUAUAUAUAUAUGUAUAGUAAGUCAAAAUCCAAAUGACUGGUUUACUCACUAGAAUAAAUGUGCACUUCAUGGAGUUGAUAAGGUGACAGAACGAGGGUUGUAACUUAUAUAUCUUCAGCAUGCAGACUGCUUCAGCUCCCCAUGGGGUGAAUUAGUCCGUGUAAAAAGCAGCGCAACAAUUUGGUAUCUGGUUAACCAUCGCGGUGUCACUCGGUGACUGUCUUAUAUCUUCGAGUUGUCUGCGAAGAAUAUAAACGGGGGGAAAGGACAAGAACGCACCCUGCUUUUCUGCCAUACGAAGUGAGCAAAAAUGUUCAGCAUCGGCAUUGUUUUCGUUUGAAACGGUUGUCAUUGAUACGUCUAAGCUUGGGAGGGACCCUCUAUGUUUUUCAAUCAGUGGGGACAUCUCCGCGUUGACAGCCGAAGCGUGUCCCCUCCUCCGACACAGAUACUUUAAUAAUUGGGUUGGUAAAGGGGAGGGUAUAACGACUCUUAGAAACAGUAGCAAACGUCAAUGAGAUCGUGAUCAAUAAUUGAGUGACACCGAUAUCGUUUUAGGUGAGAAUACUGUAGCUGAAUCGAGAAAGGGAAAAUAAUGUGAAAUUUUUAGUAUCAAUAGUGAAGCCAUGAUUUAGAUGGGAGAGCAACAGUGGGUAACAUUGUUGAAUAGAAGCGCAUGCAGUGGUGCAUGAAGAAGAUUGAAAGUGAAGAGGAUCAGAAAAAUUCACAAGUUUCUAUAAAGCGAAUUGUUCUCUGGUGCGUGCAUCCUGGUUCUUUUGCUUGAGUGAUACAGAGAAAGAGAUGAAUGAAGGGAUCUUGAUUGAGGCGUGUGCAUCUACGAGUGUGAUCAUCUGUUCCAUACCGACGCAAACGUUCUCCAAAAUUGUUUUGUAGGAAUGUGGGUACAGAGGCACCAAUAUUUAUGCAUCCACAAUGUUCUAGCUUAGAUGUAACACUGUCCACGUAUCUUAGAAGGAAUGUAAUGAUCUGCAAGUGAGGUAAAUGAAACAGUAGAUAUAGCCUCUACCUCCAACUUCACUCUCCGAGUCCGAAAUUCCGCAAGCUUUGACCUGAGACACAAAAUGAACUAACCGCUUUCAAGCCCUUUGACAGUAUGUAUACAAUUUCCACUUAGAUGAGGUAGAAGUCAAUCAUCCAAUUACGCCAGUAAAGCUACAAAACAUGUGUAAAAACAAUUUUCAGAUUCUGAACCAAGUCUGCGGUGGCAUGAUAUUUUGACGGCCGUCGUUGAUAGUCAAUGUCGAACAAAGGGGCACCUAGUUGUGUUAGCACUUAAAAAAAAAUUAUUCUGAAGCCAUAGCAGCAUUGGUGUAGAAGAGAUUCACGAAAUUACCACCAAGCAGGAGCAAGUUGCUGGAUGUAGCUUUUAUUAAGGAUUGCGUCAGCUUUUUUCUCAUCUGAAAUUUCCGAUCAUCAAAAACUUACGAUCCAUGUAACAAGCUUCGCACAUACUAAGACCCACCUGAUAGGUCCUGUGUAAGCUCACCAGUGUAAUAUAAAAAAAUCCAAUACGCAUUGAAUAUAAUUACCACAUGAUUUUAAAACCAGUUUGCACCCAGAUGAUUGAACUUGUACAAACUAUUAAUUGUGGGAUUUAUGUAUUUACGAAAGAUCUAUCAGUUUCUUGAAGGUAAUUGCUCACCUCGCUUUGACAUCGGAAGAAGGCAGUUUUCAGUAAGGCCGAAAUGGCCAAGAUCUGAGAGAAAUAUUCCCAACCACAGAAUGCUUGGCACUGCUAGGACUUUGGCAUCAUAUGCCAUGGUCUGCAAAGAGCAACAUGACAGCAUUUAGUGCUUCAAUCAGCACUUGGAUACCUUAGUUACCUGACGAUCUUAUUCUGAUUUUGGAUGAGUGAUUGAGAGAAUAACACUGCCCCAUGUUUUAGCUAUGUUUAUUCAGGCUCUCUGUAAUGAUGAUGGUAAGGAUAUGCUAUUUCUUACCAGGGAACCAAAUCGAUAGAUCGAAAGGAUAUCCAAACCGUAGGGGUCUCCAUCCAUGAGACCAUACACAGGCAAAUGGAGUUGGUCGACUAGUCGUCGCAGAAAACUGCUCGAGUGCACAUGAUUAGAAUACUCGAAAUCCAAACAAGACCUUGCUUGUCUUCCCCACUCACGGAGGUCCGUGGGCAAGAAAAAAUAGAAUGCAAAGAGCAAGCAUGAACAGAAUAGAUCAUAGAAGAGAAUGCAAUUUACCUUCUUGUGGCCACAUCUGGAUAGCCUUUCCCCUGCAAACACGCGCUCGGUCAAUGAGGAUUAUUUAUCAGAUUAUUGGUAUGCUCAGCUUCCGAUUGUCAUUCAAUACUUACUGUUAAAAGGAUGCAGCAAUUCUUGGCACAGAAUUUGUCGUUUGCUAGUCGUUGGAAAACUGCAAUGCGAGUAACGUUAGUGCAUUACACUAGAAUUACAUAAUCAGAUUACAACUUGAUGCAUUUUGAUGAAGACUAGUUAUCAUGCUGAACCCUACAAAAAGUAUUUGCUAAUCACUUAUAAUUAAUAUGAAACUUGUGUCUUUGUUUGUUUUCCAAGCACUUUGGAAUUCAAGCUGCAACAACACACAAAACCACUGACCUGUUUCUUUCUCCACUAAAAGGAUGUACUCCGCACUACUGCUUAAGUCUAGUAAGCUUGCAGUGAAGGUUUCCGAGAAGCUUUGGUUGAUAUGUAUUACGAUAUUGCACGUGAUGAACACUCUGAAUUUUAGUAACAAAAAUUAAAUCAUGAAACUCAAGAAAUUUCUUAUUCAAUUGCAAGGAUACGACUCACUUUAUUUAUGUGCACAGGAACUGGAAGGCCCUGUCAACACAGGUCGGUUUUUAAAGGAUUAGGUUUCAAUAGCCCGAUGAAUACAAAGUGAAGAACUGUAAAUUUGAAGUUAUCUAUUCUCCUUCAAUAUGUUAAUUACUUGCGUCCAAUUUAUAGUUGCGACCCGCGGAAUAUCUUGAGACCUGCUUACAGUAAAGGUCUUGUAAAGGUACAACGCAAGGCACUGAAACAUUGAUAGUGAUUCAUAAUUAGUCCUUAUCAGGAAAUCAUGUAUUGUAAGUUUGCUUGGGUAGGUGGAGAUUAAGCGCGCUUACGUUACUGGUGCUGCUUCGUUUUGAGCAGUUGAUUAGUCUACCUUCCUCAUAGUAGCUCAACUGGCCCGUCACCAAGCUGCUGCCACGCAUAGCAUAAGCUAUUUGUACUCAUAAUUCACAUGAAAUUGAACUCGAUAACAAACAAAUCUGAGCCUUCGGCCAGUCUUGAACAACAAACCACGAAUUGACAUCAUUUGGUCCAAUUGUGAAAUUUAUGAAUCGACAGAGAUUCCCAGGACAGAGUAAAUAAUUUUCAUUUCCGCUGACAUAUGCACAAGCAGCUGAAAUUUAUUUUGUAAUCGCAAGUAUAGUCAGCAGAUGUUAAUUUCCAAGGGAUGGACAAGGGUACUCAGGUUGACUGAUAACGCACCCUUUGCUGGAAGAAACCUGCUUGAACAAUCAUUGAGCAGCAUUAGUGACCCUCAAGAUGUUAAAGCAGGUAAAGAGUGUUAUCAAUUCGCAAGUAAAAUGCAAUGAUUUGUAAAACUGUUAUACUAGAGACAAACUUUCGGGGUUACAAGCGGCAGAUUACAAGGCACAGACGAUAAAAAAAAUUGAUAAUGGAACUUAGAAAUGAUGCCAGUCACUUGCCAGGUUCAGUGAUGGACGGCUGCAGUGAAAGAAACAGCAAAUAUCAUUGAUGGAUUGAUCCAGUCGACCUAGUAAGUAAAUUUGAACAAGACUUUGGUGUCAGCCAAUCCAAGCAUUGUGAAAACCAACAUAUUCUUCACUUCUUAUAAGAUCUUAUUUGUUUUAUACUGUACUAGAUCAAAGAUAUACUGUGACGUAUACAUUAACGAUUCAUAUGUGUCGAAGAGCGAAUAGGCAUCAGGGCAGAGUACAAGUAAAAACUAUAAAUCACCAUCUGACCUUUCAGAAGAGCAGUAUCGUUAUAGUAUACAUCUCUCUUCGUGGCGUGCCUAUUCUGUUGCAGUAAGACUUCAACGAUUUGCAACACUUUCAACAUUGCAACUGCAUGACAAUAAACCAUUCGCAUCCCAGUCAAUUUAUACUUUAUCACUUAUACAUGCAUUACUACAUUUUGAGCUCACUGUCGCAUUUCAAGAAUGUUAUAAAAAAAUCUAGAAGCAACAGACAUGCAAAAACGGAUUCUAAUGUAAUGACACUCGCACUUCUUCAAAAUCCUUAGACAUACCAAGUCUCUGAGAACCUCCUUCCGAGCUGCAUGAAAUCUCCUCAAAUGUAUUCGUUUCCUCAAAUAUUGUCAAGCUUUACAACAGAAUUUAGAGUUACCAUGAGCUGUUGGAAGUUUUAAAAGACAUUCCUCUCUACUUGAACAAAAAUUCAAAGGUUAGUGACAAUAGGCGACAUUUAAAACGUCGCAAUUAAAUUUCAGGUAAUUACAAGACGAUGAGAAAUAAAAUUUCAUCAUCUCACCAUUUCUUAUUUGUCUCAAGUGGAUAUUCUCGAGGCUUGAACACCGGUAUGCUUACUGAUGCUUGACCACCACGCUCGAUAUCGCUCAGAACUGUGUGUAAAAACACUGUUGGGAAAAACAAAAACAUAAAUAAAAUAAAAUAAAAUAAAUAACAUACGCACACCGAACAACACUGCGUUAUCACACUAUCCGGAUGAAGGUAUAAUAGAUACCGUUGCUGAGACUCUGAAGUGGUCCAAUUGUUGAGUUUAAGUAGUAAUGGCUGGUGUACUACAUACCAGAAUUCAUUUCUUGAACUAAGAAUUUAGGCUUUAAAAUGUCUAUUUAACUUCGGCCUAGGCAACCGCCUACAAUUUGGCAAAUCUUUGAAUUUUCGAACGACUACGUGCAGACGCUAGAACAUAGAAAUGUCGUCGAGAAAGAUAAUUAGAAAAAAUAUAUGAAAAUAAGGAUUCAGACUCUUUUUAGAGUUGUAGGAUUUUUCUUUAUUGUAGCGGCAAUAAUCAUGAAACAUAGCAUCUUCUUCAUAAAAUAGUAUCAGGCUUUUCUUAGUCAGGCGAAAAGGAUGGAAGCAUUUAGGGGAAUAUUCCAAAACUUACUUUGAAUUUGAGGCAGUAGAUACGUGGAAUCCGAAGUUCCUCCCUCCAUCAAGCUUGUAUGUUUCGAGGUCAAGCUUCUGGUGGCAAUGAAAGCAGAUCGAGACAGCAAACAGCAGCUGGACUUCCACUCACAAGGACUGCCGGAUGUGUUCAAAGCCCCGUGUGACGAAGGCUUGUAAUUUAGGGGAGAAGAUCAAAGGGAAUAAGGAGAUAUGAAGAUAGAGAUGCAUCAAUUAAUACCUAGGGAGUCCUUAUAUGCAGAAGUCCACUUCAAGAAGUUAUGGUUCAAGAACCUUAUUUAUGUCCCUCACUCAUCGAAGAAGAGCCUUCUUUUGGAAAUUUUGAUUAUGGGAUAUAAUACGAAGUGAGAGGAGAUCAUGAAAUGGAUCAAGUUAUUCUUUUGAUAUACAUCUAAUUUUGUCACUUUAUACCUUAUUUCUAAUAAUUAUGAGAAGUAUACGAAUUUUGGUUUUUGGUUUAUGGUUUUUUUUUUUUUUUUUUUUUUUUUUUUUUUAAGUAGUUUUUGACACAACUCUUUAAAGUCUUCUAAAAAAAACUACUUCUUAAGAUGAGUCCAACAAAAAUUCCAAGAGACAACAUUAUUUGUGCCAUGUAGGAAAAAAAGUACAUUCUAAAACAUUUUUUUCUCUCAAGGACUUUGAACUAAAUUUCCCAAGUAUAAAGCCAAUGUAGUAAAGCUUCUUAAUUUCAACCAAUCAAAGGAUUUGAAAGUUGUAGCCUCUUCCCUUAUCUCUUAAGCAUAAAGUCCCCAUUUCUUCAAUGGGGACUUGUUUUCUUGCCAAUAGAAGUAGUUGAUAAAACACAACUAAUUUUUAUUGAGAAAAAACAAUAGAAUAUCUUUUUGAAAUAUUAAAAUUAAGAAUUUAUAAUUUGUAAUAUUUUUAAGUGGUUAUGUUUUAAGAAAAAAUUAAGGUGAAUAAUAAUGAAUCAUAUUAUGCUAUAUAUAUAUAUAUAUAUAUACAUGUAUGUGUAUAUAACAAAAAUAUAUAUAUUUAAAAAUAAUUUAUGUACUAGAUAUGAUUUUACGAUCUUUUUUAGUUUUAUGUUUGGUUAAUUGCAAAUUGUUAAAAAAUUAUUCAUUGUAACGUGUGCUAUUUAAAAGAUCUAGUUGGCCAAGUCUAGCUUAGGGACUACUGUUGAAUCCUUACCCUAAUCCCUCAUGACCAACAAAACAAUCUUGAGCCAAUACUAAAUCACAUCAACACUACCAUUUAAGCUAACCAAAUCAGAAAUUUUCCACAAACCAUACGAAGUUACAACAGACGUCCAACAGAACCAUGACACAAAAAGCAACACAAGGUUCCGAGCAUGAGAGACAUUAGAAACACGUGGCACAUGCUUGCCAAGCUGGCAUUUCUUGUCUCGAAGGACGCAUAUGAAAGUAGACGUAGAAGGUAGUAGUACACGUGGCUGGCGGGAAUCCGAGCUGGAGGGGAGGGGUGGGCGCCAUGCCCCAGGAAGGAAGGUAGGAAGGAAGGGCGUGUGAUUGAACAUGCGAGGGAGGGCUAAGAGUGGCAAGAAGAAGCCCACCAAAGUUAGUGGAGCUGGGGAGAUCAAGUACCAUGCUCGUGCGCUGUUCUUAAGCUCUCAGUCUUUCAAGCCUUGAUCCCCCCUCCCCUCCCCUUCCCUUAGUCUAGCCUCAAGUGACCUAAAAGAGACACAGAUCGAGACGGAGAGCGAGCUCUAGACUGCGCGAGCGAGAGACAGGAAUAUCUUGAUCAUCGCUCACGCAGAUCGAGGGGGUUCGUCUUGUCUCGUCUCGUCUCGUUGCCAUCGCCGUAGCGCAGGGAGGGUGUCAGGGGGCGGGGCGUGGAGGAGCUGUGAUCAAGAUGAGCGGGCCCGAUGUGCUGUUUCCGCUGCGGAACAACUUCUACCUGGGCGCAUUCCAGGCUGCCAUCAACGAAGGCACCGUGCGCAACUUGAGUGAUGCUGAUGCUGUGGAGAAAGACAGCUUCGUCUACCGCUCGUACAUUGCGCUCGGCCAGCACCAGGUCAUCUCCUCCCCGUCUAUCGCGCUGCGGUUUAGGGUUUCGGUGAUGUGAUGUGAUUCUUGCUCGUGUUGUUAGCAUUGCGGGGAGUAUUUUUAUGGUCUAGGAAGUGGGAGAAGCCAGUGUAAUAGUUAGCUUUUUGUCAGAAUCACUUGCGAAGUGGUCUUCGUCUGAGUGUGAUUCGAGGGCCUAGUGGUAUCGGCGGAUAUAUUCUCGUUUUCUUCCUCGGUAUAGGAGUUGGCUGAGUUAAUGAGGGAUUGAGACUAAUGCUUUAAAUUGUGGAUUGUGGCGCAUGUCUCUAGGACAUUUCCUCCAUGCUCUUCUUCGAUUCUUUUACACUUAACUUCAAAAAUUCUUUCUCCUCUUUCUCCGUAGCGUCAGCGAUCUAGAUUUGUAUUGAAAAGUUUAGUCUUUAUCGUCGAGAAAUUCUACUUCUCGGCUGUCGUUGAAAAUGGAUAAAUAGAUUGAUUGGUACUCAUCUGUAGUGCCGCUGCUGCACUAAGCACAUUCCUGCAAUUUUAUUUCAAAGUAAACCGCUGUUGAGAUCUCCACAAGAAAUCUGCUGAUGUUCACCAGCUCUGCAAGAUUCAAAGGCACCGUAAUACCAAUUUUAUGUUCAAAGACACAUGGUGGUCCGUAUACAUUUAGGACUUCAUUCUCCGCUCGUGAUGUCUCGGGAGUUCUGUUUUUUGCGUCUCGAUUAUCCCUUUCUCUGCAGAGUGAGUGUCCCGCUAUUGAACUUUAGAUGAGAUUAUUUAAAGCAUUUACGUGCAUUAUAUACUGACACAAGCGACGCUUUCGGUGGUUAAAUCAGUUGGUGAUUGAUGAAAUCAACGAUGCUGCUCCAACUGCGCUUCAAGCCGUAAAACUUCUUGCACUGUACCUGUCGGGGGGAGCUCAGAAGGUGAUCUUGGUGGAUCGAACGGAUUCUACACAGACUAACACAUUUCUUGUGACACGUUUACAGUUUACAUCAGUUGCCCUUGACGAGCAUGUGUUGUUUAUUGUUAGUGUUGGUUAUCUGUGGCAAUCAGAAUCUUAGUCCGAGUAUGAUGUACAUUCAGCCGUCUGCCGCUCACGAAUUUUCAUUUCCAGGACAAGGCUUUGUCUGGCUUGUCGGAGUGGUUAUCCGAUGCGGCUGUUGCGAGCAACCCUACAUUGUUGCUCAUUGCGGGCAUGAUUCACACUCACGAGCAAAACUAUAACGAAGCUCUUAAGUAUACACACGUUGGUGGCACUCUUGAUUUGUAAGUGACCAAGCCAACUAGUACCUAGAUGUGGGGUCAUUGCGCUGUUAUUCGAUACAAUCUCAGGGCUGCUGUUGAUUUUCGCCACAAUCGUGCACAAUUAUCGUGCGGCAGGAUUGAACUAUUCUAGAUCUGAUUCAUUCCCUUCAAUCGUAAAUGUUUCGUGUAUGUCAUUGUCGACAACCUGGACAAUUCUCCACAGUCGGUAUCGUCCCCUCAGCUAUCUAAUACCCUAAUUUUCCUGUAGAGCGGUUCUCUCGUCCUAAGAGGGAAGCUAAGGCUGAAGGGCUCGGUUGUUCUCUUCACUUGACUAAUUUAUGCCAAACCUAGAUCAGAUUCGAUUUCAAAGUAGACUUUGAUUCCUCUUUAAUUAUUAGCCAGAGAUUUUGUAACUAGUUCAUCCCAAUUCAGGUGUCGUUUUGUCUUGGCAGGUGUGCUCUGAACAUUCAGAUCUAUUUGAAGAUGCACCGCACAGACUAUGCAGAGAAACAGCUGAAAAUUAUGCAACAAAUUGAUGAAGAUCAUACCCUUACACAGCUAGCGAAUGCAUGGGUCAACCUCUCAUUGGUAAAUUUCCUCAGUUUUUUGUUUAUUUUUGCUGCAUUUUUCAUCGUAACAGGAUUUUUCUUGGACCUUCUUUGUGUCUCUGAAGAAUAUUCUUGCACAGCAGUGUUUUACAUCAUAAUGAAUAUUUCACUCGUAUGCUAAGCACAGCGUUGGUGCUUAACGAAGUUAUGACCUGCGCCUUUUUUUGCGUAGGGUGGUGCCAAGGUUCAAGAAGCAUACUAUAUCUUUCAGGAGCUGGGUGAAAAGUUUACGUGGACAGUCAUGCUGAUGAAUGGAAGUGCGGUUUGUCAAAUGCACAUGGGGCAAUUUGAGGAGGCCGAGACUCGCCUUCUGGAGGCCCUGAACAAAGUACGAAUGCUUUAUGUUUUAUUCAUCGUUCAACAAAAGUUACUUCUUUUGAUGAGGGUUUCUUUUUGGCAUUCUUUAUUGCCAUUCUUUUAUCUGCAUUGUAUUAUGACAUUGUUUUCGACUUCAAAAAAAAAAUAUAUAUAUAUAUAUAUAUAUAUAUAUUACGUAAGUUGGAACACAUGCCUUUCAUUCCCCUAGAUCUACAACUUGCCACGAUAUUAUUGAACGGAGUUUCCGACACUAUCCAUCUUAGUUAUCGACGAGUCCACAUUUGCAGCGGUAAAAGAAAUAUACUAACCGAAUACUCUGGAUUCUUUGGGCCAUUGCCUGCAGGAUUCGAAGGAUGCUAAUACACUUGCCAAUCUGAUAGUCUGCAGUCUACACUUGAGCAAGCCAACUGCACGUUACUUGAGGUGUGCAAACAGCUCUAGAACUCUUUUCACCAUCAUACGUCGAUUUCUUUCUAUGUUUUUCGUGUGCAUUGGGAUUCUGUAUAUCGGAUUUUUACAACAAUCCUUGCUUGGAAGAUUUUUUCAAGCAGAAUAUGAGAAAUGUUCAGGAUUUGCUCUCAUCAUCUUCUGCUUGUGUGACCAGUCAGUUGAAGAUUUCCCAUCCAAACCAUGUGCUUGUGGAGCGUGCUAGUGCUGGUGAAGCUGCUUUCGAGAGAGCUGUGCAAAGUGUUGCAUAAGAUGUAUUAAACUACUCUCACAACUUCGUUUCUAUCCUGCUAUGCUUUGUGAUAACAAAUGACAUACUUCAUACAAAUGGUAGUCCGUGAGCCUUAUGUUCUGUUUAUGCUCUUCGUAAUUUCAGUGCUCUAUUGAUGAGCACAUGAAUCUGUAGUGCUGUGGCUUCAAAAGCUAUUACCCUAAAUGAAGGAUCUAUUCCUUUCCUAACAACCGUUAGUUCUCCGUCUUACCGCAGGACGCACAAGUGAUUGUACAGCCAACUUGCUACUCCGUUUUUUUCUGCUGUAAGCAUCAUCAAGCCCCAGGAGAUAUGAGUUGCACUCCAGUCUGUGGCUGUUAUGCAGCUAGUCGUUAUUAUUCUGAUAUUAAAUUUUACCUGUUUCAAUUUUGUGCCUAUGCAUCAUUGAUCAGUAGUUCUUUUCAGUUUUUGAGGCUAGCACUAGCAAGUUCAUGCAUAAGUUUUAAAGUUUCUAGGUCUAUAUAGAUCAGCUAACAUUUUUACAGCUCUAGUUUGAAUCUGUCUCAUUUUAGUUACUUAAAUAUACUGGAAGCACGCAUUUUUGUGUUAUUCAGAUCCGUCUGAGAUCAGCAGCUUACUUUUGUGUGUUAUCAUAUUAAAAAGAUUUUGAUCUACAUGUUGUGAAACUGAAAUUAGAGUCUGCGUGAUGGAAUAUAGCUGAACGAAACCAAAUGUUUCAGGAUUGGGAUGCUUCUUUAUCGAACUUUUAGAUUAGAUUCCAAAGAAGUACUGAACUUCUCUAACUAAGUUCCACUACAUAUUCCACAAAUAUUCAUUAUCACAAUGAUUGGAUAAAGGAGGCGAACUCGAAAAGAGAUAUUUGUGAACUCGGCUAUUCCAAAUCCGCUGGCAGACUUCAUUUUUCUUAUCAUGAGCAUUCCAUGUGUGUUGCUUGCGCAGCAAUUAAGAAGGUUACAGCAUUUUGAACUGUAUCAAUUUCCCUGGUACCUUGAUUACUUCUUGAUCGAAGUGAACGUCACAAGCUACACAUGGUCGCUUGAAAGUAUUGUUCCUGGAGUCUUCCUCUUCUCAAGCUCACUUCUGAUGCGAUCGAGAUUUGUUGAAAACAUGGAAAUAAGCUCUGCUUAUAGAUUUCAUCAGGUGAAGGGAUUGCUGGCAACGAAAGAACUACCUUAGCAAUCUCCUACAGAAUAGACGGUCCAGAGGCAUCAACCAAAAUGCACAUUCAAACUAGAGCUCCGAGAGGAAUCAGAAUCACCUUGACAAUUACCUUCUUCUCCCUCUGCAUUCCGUUACUCAGCAAUGAAGGCUGUCGUCUAGACCAAUUCUUAUUCACAAGAUGACUUGUUGUCGCAAUCCAUGUGACAAGAGUUGAGCAAUCGUUGUAUUCAUGAGUAGAUGAAGAUUAUAAUUCAGAAUAAGAAAUGCAUGCAUCUCAGACGAUUCACAACAUUAUUAUGGACAAGCGUAAAUGCCACACUGUCGUGAAUUGCAGCAAUUCAUGCGAGUGGAUUGAAGGUUUUCAAGAUUAUAUAUCAGGUGGGUCAUUUCAUCAGCAUCCCGCACUACAUGUUUGAAGUGAAUGCUUUUCCUUAUCUAUGUGUCUAGUGAAUUCGAGGCUGAUUCUUCCUUCUCUGAGAUUUUCAAUUCUGCUGCAUCGGCCUGUGCACCACACAAUCCCUAACCCUAAAACUGUAGCGCGGACGCCCGUGAUACAUCAUCACGUGACACCUCCAAAAUUCAUAGCGUCCUGAAUUUUUGCGGCACCUCCAAAAUCCAUCUCUCCCCACACAAGGAAAGCUGUGAAUAAUGCACUUCAAAUUCAAGAAAAAAAAAAAAAAUCAGGACGCUAUGAAAUAGUCCUUAAUUAUAGUGCAGUAAAUAUGAUAUUUAAUUCAACUACUUUUAGAACAACAGAUGUAAAAAUACGGGUUUAACUGUAAUUUGAAGCUAUGAUAAAAGGUGCAGUAAGAUUUUGGUUAUGCUAUAUGAAAUAGAUGUAUAAAAUUUAUUUUUAUUGUCAAUAGUGUUUCUUAGAUAUUUUCCGUAAACAUGUUGUUGCUUGCUUAUGAUAAAAUCUUGUUGAUUGCAUAUGACAACAGUUUGAGAUGUUGGAGAGGACCCAUUGGUUUGAGGUUUGCAUAAUUUUGUAGCUCUUGCCAAGUUAUGAUGUACAUUCAUAGUUUUAAUGUUCAAAUAACUAACAUAUCAAUGCAAAAAAUUCAAUAGACCUUGUUUGAUACGGAAUUAUACAAAAAAUAAAGUAAAAAGUAAAAAACAAUACAUGGCAUUGUAUAUGUUAUUUGAUAUAAACUUUUUAUCAGAUGUUAAUGGCAUUGCAAUUACUUUUUUCCAAUCAUCAUUCUAAAAUUACAAUGACUUCCUAAAAACUAUAUAGGUAAGGUGUAAUUAGCAAAACAAAUUAACACUAUUUCAUUUUAGAAAUAAUUAUAUUAAUUGAAGUUUUUGUAACACUAAAGAUUUUCAAAAUAUGUGAAGGGAAACUCUAAAUCUUUUUACAAUUUUCUCUUAAUGCUUGCAACUUUCAAACUUUAGGCCUAUUUUAUUCACAUUAUUAUGUUUUUUUUAUUUAUUUAUUUAGUGAAUUUUCAUAAUUUAAACGGAACUCUUCAAUGCCAAGGGGUCAUGGUUGAGACGGUCUUAGGGAAUGGUCUUUUUCCGUUAUUUCCGAGGUAGAUUCAGCAUCCAAGUCCGCGGAAUCAAAGAACUUUAAGAUCGUGGAAUCAAAGUUACAUAAGACCGUGGAAUCAAGGAUACAUAAGACCGUGGAAUCAAGGAUACACAAGACCGUGGAAUCAAGGAUACAUAAGACCGUGGAAUCAAAGAUGCAUAAAACCGUGGAAUCAAGGAUACAUAAGACCGUGGAAUCAAAGAUGCAUAAGACCAUGGAAUCAAGGAUACAUAAGACCGUGGAAUCAAGGAUACAUAAGACCGUGGAAUCAAGGAUACAUAAGACCGUGGAAUCAAGGAUACAUAAGACCGUGGAAUCAAAGAUGCAAAGACCGUGGAAUCAAAGAUGCAUAAGACCGUGGAAUCAAGGAUGCAUAAGACCGUGGAAUCAAAGAUGCAUAAGACCGUGGAAUCAAUGUGCUCUAAACCCGAAGAACCAAAGGGAUCUAACCUCGCGGAAUUAUGGAGCCCUAACAUCGCGGGAUCAUCUGCCCUAAUUUCCAAGCUCUGGUGCUCGUUGGUGCUGCUGUUGUUGCUGCUCAUCCAGCUUAGAAGCUGGGCGUUGCGGGGGUGGGGGGACUUCAUUGGCUAGUCGGGGGGAGUAGCUUAGGAAUUUGUACCUUCAGAGGGUGUAGAUAGCCUUUGCGGAUUCGAAGUGGAAGUGGUUUAUAGAUUAAGGGGGUCGUCAUGCCUCCCAAGGCAGCUCCCAAGGGGGGCGGCAAGGAGAAGUCGAAAGCUGACCUUGCGAAGAAGCAGAAGCUCGUGGAGGACAAGACCUUCGGAUUGAAGAAUAAAAACAAGAGCAAGAACGUGCAGAAGUACGUGCAGAGCUUACACCAGUCUGUCCAGAAUGCCGGACCCAAGCGUGGAGUUGAUGAUCCCAAGGCCGCGGCCAAGGUUUGGAUUCACUCGAUUGGAGUUGAAUUGUGGUUGUGGGAUGCGCUGCGUAGCUUGUUAUGAUUCAUUAGGUUGCUAGAAAUGGGAGGCAAUGAAGUCAUGCUCCUGCUGUUCGCUGUUUGGGCUGCUGAUGGUCAUUUGACCUAAUUUUGUUUGUUUCGCUGUUUUCUGUUGAUUUGGUGGAUGGUAUUUCAAUUCGACUUGCUGUGGCUUCAACGCAGCUAGUCAUGAAAUCACGGUUUCAGUCUAUUUCAAGGAUUCGGGAUUCUUGGCACUUUUUGUAGUCACUCGGUGUUGUAUGCAUGCAGAAGAAGAAGGAAGAAGAAGCUGCGAGGGAUAAGGAGUUAAAUGAAUUGUUCAAAGUGGCUAUUAGUCAGCCUAAGGUUCCUGUUGGUAUGCGCACUUUUGCAGUACACCCCGUUUUAUUUGCUCCAGCCGCUUCAGCUUGCACUUCCGGCUAUAUCUGAUUGAACUUGAUCCGUAGACUCUGCGCAAGCUUCGAAUAUUCCGAAGGCUGACUAGAGGGAUGGUUGUAACACGUGACAGGUGUUGAUCCCAAAUCAAUCGUUUGUGAGUUUUUUCGCCACGGGCAAUGUGCCAAGGGAUUCAAGUGCAAGUUCUCGCACGAUCUCAGUGUUGAAAGGAAAGGAGAGAAGAUUGAUAUUUACAGCGAUCAGCGUGAUUCAGGUGAGCUUCUCGAAUCCACUUGAUAUGGUUGAUGUGAUGUAUAAUUGCUGCAAUACCGUAUUGAAUGUGGCCGUCGCUUGUUUGCUCACUAGUUUCUUGCAAUCAUGCAGAGACCAUGGAUGAAUGGGAUCAGGAGACUCUUGAGAAAGUGGUAGCAGCGAAAGGAAAUGAGUUCGUUCACAAUAAACCUACGGAAAUUGUAAGUACUUCUAGCAUCUUGAGUCUAGCCGAGUUCCAUGAUGCAAGGGUGUAGGUGAAAUUGUUAUCAGAAGACAUGUAGAUAACUGUGCAUAUGUGCCAAUAGAUAUGAUUGCACCAUCUUUUUUGCGGGUGUUGCGGUUGACCUAUAUUAGGGGUAGCGCUUAUAUUCUUGUGCAGAGAGAGCUAAACAAAUUUUGUGAGUUUCAUCCAAUUUCGAGAGUCUUUUAUUGCAGAACUGUGUCCAGUUGGCAUUCAUUUUCGUAGUGUACAGGUGGCUUCAUAACAUUUAUCAUGAACUCUGUGCAGGUGUGCAAACAUUUCUUGGAUGCUGUAGAAAAGAAACAAUACGGAUGGUUUUGGACGUGCCCUAACGGUGGGAAGGAUUGUCAUUACCGACAUGCUUUGCCCCCCGGUUAUGUCCUUAAGUCACAAAUGAAGGCAUUGCUUGAAGAAGAGGGUGAAAAAUUGUCGAUUGAAGAAGAGAUUGAGAAUCAGGUAUUGUACAGAGCUUUAAGAAUGGCGAGCUCAUUGCACGGUGUCGGUAUAUUAGCUCACUAUUUGUUUCUGUUCAAGGAGUCUUGGUGUAACCAUUAAAUUCCAAAUGGGGGUAUCCAACAGAUUACUUAAAUGACAAUUUGUCUCCGUUGAUGCAGAGGCGUAUGACCAAAACCAGCACCCCUAUGACGGGAGAGGCAUUUGCAGAAUGGAAAAGAAAGAAAUCCGAAGCACGUGAAGUUGAAUUAGCUUCCAAGAGAGCAGAGAGGGCCAGAACCGAUAGAAUGAGGCAUGUCCUUUCAUCAAUGGAACACAAUUUCCUUGAGCUGUUUCCUCACAUUUGUGAGGAUUGUCAUUUGGCUAGUUUAUUUUUUGUUAUUGAAGAAAGGUCGGAAGGUUUUAAAAGCGUAGCCCUCUGAUUAGAUUUGGCUAACCUAAUGGAUGAUGUGUGUUUAACAGUGGACGAGAGCUCUUCCUUGCUGAUGCCAGCUUGUUUGUGGAUGACGCGGAAGCGUUUGACUCUUACACUCGGGAAGAAGAGCCCGAUGCUGCGGAGGGUUCAGGAUCCUCUCAGCAGGUAAUGUAUACAUUUCCAUUCUUGUGAUUGAUCCCUAGCGGUUAGAUUUAAAUUUUGUUUUUAGAUUUUUUUUGCAGCGAUCAUCCUCGAGAGCUGUUGAAAAGUGCAGUGGACUGAGGUGUUCUGGAGACAUCGUCUUGGGAUAUGAUGUGGAAUUAUUGCAGCAUAUCAUCAUCAGAGCUGACCCUAACAAUAAGUUGCAAUAUGACAGGUUCAACAGAAAUCAGUUUUGGACAGAGCAGGUAUCAGUGAGCAGGACGAGAGUUUAUUUAUAGACGACGACGAUGAAUUGGACCUGGAUGAGUUGGAUGAGUUGGAGUCCAGGAUUCAUAAGACAUCCUUGGAUGACACGUAAGGAUGGAGCUUCGACAAAUGGAAGCAGAGCAAGACAUGGUUCAGUCGUUGAAGUGAUCUUUUCUCCACAGUUGAUUACAGUCUGAUGCAGUGGAAUUGAACAUGCAGAGAAUUCGCAGUUCAGUAGUUCUUGUUAAUUGGAGUUUGUAGCUUUUGUUGCUUAAGGAUGGGUGUUUCAGAGAAUUUCCGAGUUGGAUAGUUUAGAUUUAGAAUGAGAUUUAGAGCUUUUUCGGGAAUCAGUACUUAAUGUGGAAGAUGUCUAUGCGUUUGUCGCCUGGUCAUGAUGGAGCUUAUUCUGUAUUACAUAAUGGUGUACACUGAAGAGAAUCGUGAAAUGUGGCUAUAGAAUAUAGCCUAUGGCUCUUGGUAAUUCAGAGAGGUUUCAUUGCUAAUGUGGACAGUUGCUCUUGCAAUACCAAUGGGAUGAUCGUCACAGUUCCAUACUCGCCGUUCCUUAAGAGCAUUGAUUAAGAUCGAACCUGUCAAAGUCAAUAGGAUGUCAGAAUGCACAACACUCGUUUUAAGAAAAGUUAAUGACAUGCUUGGCAUGACAUAUGUCGUGCUGUGUUCUUUCAAUUUAAAAUUCCUGUGGGGAAUAAUGUCCAAGAGUGUUCUAAGUUAACAGUGAUGACUAUGAGUGAUUAACUUAGGACUGUUGUACGAUGGACAUUGAUUAUUAGAGAAAUUUUGUGAAAUGUUUUUAGUCGUAACCAUGUAUUAAUCAUUGAAGCUGAAGCUUUGUGGAGUGAGCCACUUCAUUCUACGAAAUUACGGAAAAUAAUGAGAACUUGACUCAAUUUUAAUCGGAUGUUUCUGUCCGCAGAUUAUAUGUCUCUUCACAAGUGAAUGCUGUUAAGUCUGGUGGUUACGUUAUGCUGAUGGUGGUGAGGGAACUCAGUGGGUUUAUGAGAUUACAUGCUUCACGAAAACUAUGUUCUCACGAAGCUUCCCAUGGAGAGUGUGUUUCCUCUUUCACUUGUGGUGAUAAAUGGGUCGGCGCAAUUGUAAGUAUGAUUUGUGCGAAGAGGUGGUGGAUUGUGACGCAUUCUUGCAUCAAAAUGCAGAUCGGAGGCUUUCGUCAUUAUGGGUUCAAUAGUGUGUGGCAACGAUGUAGGGGUAGGUCUUUCCAGGUUCAGAUGUGGAGGGUAUGAAAUGGUAAGCAGGUGGCAGUUAGAAAACGCAUAUUGAGGCUGUGGACUACGCAUGGCGCUCCCCUAAUGUGAAUGGCGUGGAGCAAUGAAUGUGGAUAAGUCUCCGAUGCAACCGAUCUCCUCGUGGUGCAGACGGUGAGAUUGAGUGGUUGUGGGGUUUAUCUUUUUGGUGACCUUCUUCAUCGUGUGUGAGUAGUUUUAACGCUUGAACCCUGCUUGUGUAUUUCGUAAACGGGUGUGUUGCAUAAAACCUAACUACCUUCACCGUGGAUGGAUCGUUAGUUCUUACAGCUUAUAAUCUUUCUAUCCAUCGUUAAAAUGAGGCUCAAUUUCAAUCGAUGUGCCUGGGCGUUGCUGCAAUCACGGCCGAUUUGUUUCUCAAUUCAAGCAUGUGAAACGUUCUUCUAACGAGUCCAUAAACAAGUAGGAUGAUAGCAUUUUGCGGGGCAUCUAAUUCAGUUGAAUCACGAUAUGUUGAGUUUUCAAUUAUAGUGAUGAUAUUUCCUGUGGUUGUGAGUGGAGGGGUUUGUGCCACAUUACCAGUACUCUCCUCAAUAGCAACAGUGUGGUUCUAUGUGCUUUAAAUUCAACAAUGGUGGCUUCUCUGUCAUUUAACAUUGUGUUAAACUACUGCAUGCCGGUGUUCGCAUCAGCCGGACCAUUUGUAAGAACAGUGGGGCAAAUAUGAAUUGAAAGGCAAUCGUUGGAAGGGUAUAGGUAUUUUGUGUUGCAGGAAAAUGAAGCUGCCAAAUGCUCACUCCUGUUGCAGCUCCCAGUGUUACGUAGUUAAGAUGCAUCAUUACUGCCCUUUUGUAGACGAUCGUAUCUCUACUUCUGCGUUUUUCAACUACAAUUUUCUUUGCUCCCUUGUCUUUCUUGCCUCUCUUUCCAGAGCUAUUUUGUCACUUUUAAUGAAGUGAGUUAUAUGAAUGCAAGUAUUUUUUUAAAAAUAGUUUUUAUAAUUUAUGAUUGUUACAUUCCUUGGUAUUUCAAUCGUGAGUGCAUUGUACGUGAUGGGAUUCUCGCUGUGCGUAAGUGUCAAAAUGAGGCCAAAGUCGAGGUAUCAUCACACCAAUUCACAUCGACUGUCUGUGCAAUUUACCUUGUCCAUUACUAAUCCACUGUUGACUUGAAUGCUGAUUAAUCGUGGAUCAGCAGCUUUAACACGUGCAUAAGAGUUGCUCAAUUCGUUCGUAGUAGAUAUGGCAUUGGUGAUUGGACUGAGUCUUUCAUUUCAUCAACAGUUGCAGCUUUUGAACAGUGGUUCAACUUUUACACUUACCGAGUUGAUGCGGUGGGGAUCAUGAGCAGGGUAAGAACCGAUCUAACACGACUAGCAAGUUUGGCAACUGGCACCCAUUCCUUUGGCUUCUUCCAAGCAUCAGAUCAAAAUCAUACACCAUACUCUUAUUUGUUUGCUUUUGGUUUUCAGUCCAAAAUUCCGAGUACCUAGCUCUGUUAAAGCCAAUCCGCAUGCGUUCAUUUGCAUCGAAAAGGAAGGGGAGCUACAGUGCUGUUGGAGCUUGGAUACGAACUGUGUUUGUGCCACCGUAGGGACUAUUUUGCACAGGAUAUUAGCAGAGUAAGGCUUCUGAUUAAAAAAUGGCUAUACAUGUUUUGUGAGAGUCAACAGUUUCUUAAGAUUUAUCCACGUAGUUGUAUCGCUAAUUUUGGCAAUCACCUGGUGAUAACUAAAGCUGGAACGAUUGCACGCCAGCGCUAACUGCAGUUGUGAUCGUUGCGGAGCUUACGGUUGUUAUUAACAAUGUUUUGACAAGCCAUCUUCCGGCUUAGUUAUCUACCCUAAACCCCCUCGGUAGCUAACGAGUUAGACUGCCUAUCCAGAAGUGUAAGAUGUCUUUUCUGGAGUUUGAAAUAGCCCAAAUUUUCAGUGCAUCAACAAUUCGGUUGCUGGCCGUAAAAGUUCAAAUUUCUGUGUGAGGACUAAAGCAUAAUGUCGAGAUCAAUCUUAUUGAUUCAAAGCAGUUUCAUGCUUCAGAAAUCAGAGAACACUCCACCAAGGAAUGGCUUCAAUGGUCCACAUCCAAGCCAAGUCCAUCACAGAAGGGUCAUCAGCGACAGUCUCCAAGAAAUAAUGCAUAUAUUUGAUUGGAAUGUCACAUUUGAAUCACAUGUCCACCCACAACAACCAGCUGAUGCACCAGCAAAUGCUUUCAUCCUGAGACCAGAAACAAGGGAGAAAAAGUGGAAUCUGAUUCAGUGGUUGAUGUUUGGCUCCUGGUACCGAUCAUGGUUAUGUGACAAUCAAAUUUGAUCCUCAGUAUUGUAGGGUACUACAUCAAGGCUGCAGGCUUGUCCAAUAUUGCUUUCUGUCUUUGCUUAUUUUUUUUUAAAAAAACCCAAAAAGGUUGCUAGGUGUUGAGAGGGAGUUGAUGAGAUGGGUUUUUCACUUUCAUUCAGAGGACAGGUUAUUGCCGCAACCUUUUCGCAGCAAAGAAGUUUUUGAACUCACACCAAACCGCAUGACCUAAUUGAUGAGGUUUCUAUUUUCGCCCUUUCACAUCAUUAACAGUAAGGUCUGUGCCUGCCUGCUUGUUGUAGCUUCAAGUAACCCACCUCCGCUGAGUUACCAUUCCCCUCACCGGCAUAUAAAUCAUGAACGACAAAGGCUAUGAUGGUGCUGCAGCUACCUUAUGAGCUUCAAGCCUGUUUCCAGUACCAGAAUUGACUUACAUUCAUGAGUACCCGCACAACCCUCAUCAAACGCCUCUCACUUUUAACCAGACCAUGUUUAGCUGAGUUAAAGUUGUGGUUGGAUUAUGCGCUCUCAUCUCCCUCCCCACAAGCUGAGAAAGAGACAACACUGCAAACUCGUUGCACAUCAAAUGUGCACAAGCGCAGACAGAGACGGAUCGCUCAUUGAUUAUUAUCAAACACCCAUUUGCAACAUCACUCAGACUUCCACCAUAAAAGCCCUUCCCAGUUCACGAUAUGCUGGCUGUAGUUGGCAUCGCUAUCCCGGUCACACAGUAAAGUAAAGUACCCUGCAACGCCGCACAGCAUCCAUCAACAAAACCCUUGUCACCAAAGCAUUUCCAGCUCCCUCCUUAUUGUGCUCUGCAGCAUUUGUUUCCUUUGAAUCAAGCGCAACACAGGCUUCCAACACAGAGACCUCCAACGAUCUCAACUGGGAACAGUACUCUUUUCCAGCAUCUAAUACCCAGUUGCAUAUUAUCCAUAUAUACAUAUAUUCAUUCAUUUAUUCAUUCUCUUCCUAUCGGUUUCACAGCCUUGUCACCCUUCAUUUGAAAGAGAGUAUCAGCUCCCAACCAGUUGUUACAACGCUGCAGUUUCCCAACAUCCUUUUGAAGACAGUUUCCUCCUGUCUCAUCCCUUCUCCGAGAUUUUCUCAUUUUCCAUUAAAAUAAACUCUUCAACCAAGUAACAAACAAACAUUCAAACAUGCAAACAAACAAACAUUCAAACAUGCAAACAAACAAACAUUCAAACAUGCAAACAAACAAACAUUCAAACAUGCAAACAAACAAACAAACAAACCAAGCCUCAAGCAAGCAUAGGGCUGACACAAAGCAGAGUCAUAGCCAGUGUGAGACUGGGUCUCACACUACCAUAGCCUUCUAAUCAAGCCAAGCCAAGCCAAGUCUAGUCAUGGCAACAACUGGGACUGUUCAUUGUGAGCCCAUGUCAUUGGGCAGCCAUGAAUUGGUGGAAUUAUUCAUGUGUGAGAAAUGUGGGUGUGAUCAAUUUGUCUGGUUUAGAAUGCAGCCAGUCUUUUGACUCUUAAUUAAAAUUUUCAUUUAUAUAUAUAUAUAUAUAUAUAUAUAUAUUUCUUGAGAAUUGUAUUCAGCAAAGUGCAGAGAAUUGUGUGGGAAAUUAUGUUGAUGGUUCCCAAAAAAGGGGCUCUGUGGGUGCCAACACAGAGUCCCAUGAUGGUGUGUCUUAUCAGUAUUGGAAGCCUUAAUUUAUUUGUGGAUGUUGGACUUGUGGGUGCUGAAAAUGCACCCAUUCUUGGGUAUCAGAUGAGUCCAUUGUUUAAGAUUCUUUUGAGGCCAAGUUGGGGUGUUUUGGUGUAUGUGGGUGUUGUUGGUAUGAGAGAGUGUCCAGGAUAACAUACUUCCAUGGACUUGAAUGGUUUUCAUCAACAGUGAGAAAGAGAGAGGGGAUAUAAAUAAUAAUUUGUGGAUAAAAUAAAUGGGGUGUGUGACAAUGAGGUAAGAAAAGUAGUACACCUAAAAUAAGCAUGUAAUGACUUUCCAAUGAUAGGAAGACCAUUGCAUUAUCAACUUUUCGUUAUAAUGUUCCCUCACUUUGACUUGUAACAACAACAACAACAAUUUCAAGACUAUUAUUAUGAUUAUGAUUAAUAUUAUUAUUGAAAACAAUGAUGAGAAUCAAAUACAAGUGGAGAUAACCUUUUACAAUAGAACCUAAAAGGAUAUUCAAAGUAAUGUUGAUACGCUUUCAAGACUCCUCUUUUAUGACUUAAAAGCAAAAAAGGGCAUUACCUUUAAAAAGAACCAUCUUCAUUUGUAUGGGCUAGUCUACACUCUCCAACAUUUGAGUAGCUUCCAUAUUGAAAUAUUGAAGCAUCUUGGGAAAGGAUUUUAACUAAGUUGAGCUUCACAUAUUGCACCAUAUUCUCCAGUUACACACACACACACUCUCUCUCUCUCUCUCUCUCUCUCUCUCACUCACUCACUAACCCUCAUAUUCGCAAGGACAAUGGAUAGAGAGAGGCACCUUUUAGGGCACCCAUUGAUUGGCAGGUAGGUCGGUAGGUCGGUAGGUAGGUAGGAAAGGCAGGUAGGAUAGGCACAUAAUAAGGAAGGAUUGUGGCCUCUAAUUCUUAUGGGAUUUGCCAAUUAAUUUUAUAUCUUUCUUUUUCUUAUUUCAUUGUUGAAAAGAAAAGGAAAAAGAAGUAGAAAGGUUCUCAUGAAAAAGUAUAUAAAAAAGGAAAAGAAAUUAAGUUUGGAAAAAAGAAAGGAUCCUUUUGAGUUUUGGAAGUUCAAUAAAGUAAAUGUUCACACUCCUCUACAGCUUAGAUGGCCCCAUUUGUGUUUCCUUCUUUUUGUCCACUCUCCAAUGAUGUCCACCAUUUGAUUUAUUUGUUUCUUUUUCUUAAUAUGGUGUUGGAAUCCAUAAAAUUCCUUGAGAAAAUUUCACCUACAAACAUAAGAAUUAGUGGAUUGUUCAAAUUUCUUGUUCAAAUACACAACUCCACCAAAAAUCAUCUACUUCAAAUCUAAAUUUUAGUUUUAGUUAGUUAGUUAGUGUGUGUGUGUGUGUGUGUGUGUGUUUUCUUUUUCUUUUUUCUGUUUUACAUUUACAAGAAUAUUAUAUUUUCUAUUUUACAUUUGAUAUUUGAUAUUUGAUAUUUAAAAUACUUGUAUGAUUUAUGGUUAUUAUAACUUAAUAAUGCGUGAGAUUAAAAAAAUGUACUAUAAACUAACUAUUUAUAGUGAUCAACCAUUUUUAUAAUAAAUAAUUUCAAACGAUAUUAGUUAGAAUAGAAAAUCACGUGAUAUCUCACAAUAGAAAAUUUAGUUAAAUGGUACAACAAUAUUUUCAAUUUUUUUAUAAAUAAUUAUAAAUAAUUAUUUUAUAAUAACUAAAAUUAUAAAAUAUCCACUUAGAUUAAAUCAGAAUUAAUAAGUGAUAGAUUUGCAUCUUUGUCUUUAAAACAAAAAAGAGUUACUUAAAUGAGAAAUAGAUUCUUCAUUAAUCUUUUGAUUAUAUUCUUUUGAGUCUUUUGUUUGCAUCAUCCAUUGCAAAAACUGAUCUGUUAACUAUGUAAAAAGUGAAAAAGUAGACAUGUGUAUGCUCAUGUAAAAAUUACAAAAGAUUUAUUUAUUUAUUUAUUUAUUUCCCUUUGGUUUUUAAAUCAAACUUUACUCCUGGAAACAAAUCCGUUUAUUUCCAAUAAUAUUUAGAGAUUUCCCCAAUCAAUUCAUGCGUGUUUUCUCUAUUUAUUAAUAAUGUAAAAAAACUAGUUUUUCUUUCUCACUUAUUUGAGCAAUCUAAAAACCACUGAUGAUAUUUUUCCUGUUUCUUUUUCUUUUUCUUUCGCAGUCAUUUUCAACUCUGUAGUUUCAUGUACAUAUCAUGUGUGUAUAUGUAUAUAUAUAUAUAUAUAUAUAUAAUUUCAAUUCUUUAAGCUAUUAGCUGACACAAAAAUGUGAUAAAGUAGUGUAUUAUUGGAAAUUAAUUUAGGUAAUUAUGAAACUCAUAGUAAUCUUUUGGAAUCUUUUUUCUCUAGUGGAAGCAUAUUGUAGGAACUCAUGUCUCAUUUAAGAUGGAUUCUAUUUUAGUUUAAACUUUACACAAAAUAAAUAAAUCCCACCAAAAUGGAACAGAUAGAAAAUUAAUUUUUCGUUUGUAAAGUGAGGUUUGAACUUUAUUAUUACAAGCCUUAACAUCCAUUUUUAUUAUCCCCACACAUGUGAUUAUUCUUGCAUUCACUUUUGAUAAAAAUAGAAUAACUUUCAUUGCCUAGUAUAUCAAAAAUGGAAAUAGAUGAUUUAGACAAAAAAGAACAUGGUUUUCAUGAGUAGGAUUAAUCAAAAUUUAUAAUCACAGAAAAAUAUUAAACUUAAAGUAGAUAAAUAUUGUGACAUUCCUAAUAUUUGAAUGAACUUACAUAUUUGGACUCAACUUCUAACAAAUCUCAAAUUUGGUAUAAUUAACAAUGCAUAAUCUUACCAAAAUUUUAAAAAUAUGAAUAAUUUUAGGAAUGUAGAAUUUAUUAAAUAUAAAACCUAUAAUCAACUACUUACCCAAGUUCUAUUCGAUUAAAAAGACAGGUUGUGUUUCUUGACGUACAUUUUCCCAAAGUAUAUUUAUCCCCAACCUCUUCCAUAUUCAUCCCUGUGCAUGAAAAAUCACUUAAAAUCGGUGCACUCAAUUCAAUGUAAAAGUAGUAAAAUUAGGGUAAAUAAUAGCUUACAUUUUGGAAUGAUAGAGACCGUUUGAAUGCUCUUGAGCUCCAAUUUCUUCUCACUAAGGGUGUUAUUCAUGUUCAACUUCAAUGUUUGACAAUGUCAAACAUUCUUUCAAAUUUGACCUCGAUGCUGAAACCUUAUGGGCACUUCAUCUCAGGAGUAGACAUUGAUUUGAAAUUUAUAAAGGUAUGACACAAAAUCUGAAUCCAAUUUUUUAAUAAUUAUAUGUUUAAAUAUAUUUUAUAAUUUAUUUAUUUAUUUUCUUAUAUGUUUCUAAAUAAUACACCAAUGACUAAGUCCAACAUACUCCCAAGGUCAAGGAAAGGUACCAUUUAUUUUGCAAGUCAAACAUCAAAUUUGGAGCCAUGUAUAUAUAUAUAUAUAUAUAUAUUCUUUUAAGAAUUUAAAAUUUAUUUUUGAAGGCUUCAACUUUGGUUGAGCUCAACUUUUAAUGUAAAGUAGUCCUAAUUCUAUGAAAAUUUUGGUAUAAAGAAGGAAUAAUAUGAUUGGAUUUUGCACCUCAAAAAAGAAUGUAAAUAAGAAAAAAUCAAGUAAUAAGAAUAAGGAUAAGAAGGGAUAAUAAAAAAGCAUAUGUGUCCAAGAACCAUCUUGUCUUGAGUAGGAUGUCUGAGUGACUCUGACAACCACUUCGCAUUUUCUUCUCUCAAAAAACAAAACAAAUGAUCCUGUUUUCACAGGCUCAAUGUUCUUGGUCAUCCAGAUCUGAAAUCACCCAAAUCAUUAUUUAUUUUUUCUUUUCUUUUCUUUUUGGGAAAACAACACAAAUAACAAAAUCUACACAAAAACAAUAUGGAAAAGAAACGAUGUGUAAACGAUAAACCAAAAUCCACGAAUCGGUCAACAUGGACCUUGCAACGACUACACAAUCAGAAGUGCAAUCUGAUACUAAACCCACAUGCACCCUCUACUCCCACUUCCACUCAACUCAACUCAUCAAUCAGCUCAUCAAACUGAAACCAACAUUACAAUCGCAAACAAAAAAAAACAAAACAAAAGUCAAAACACAUCAACUGGGAAGAAGAAUCACUCAACUGGCUGCACAGCCUCACUCCAGUUCAUGUAACCAAGACCCAGUGAGAACAAACACGGUGUGGAAAUGAGGAAGACGGUGAUGGCGAUCAUGAAGCAAGCCAGGCUGAUGAGACUCCAUGAGAGUGAGUGUGAGCGACUGUGUGGGACUAAUCAGACAAUUGCAACGUACGAGGUACACCAUGUACACGAGCGUACUGCGCCAAGCUGUGGAGCCAGGCUGAUUGAUGUGGAUGAGAGACCAACCUUGAAAGUUACAGCGACUGGGCAGAGACUCGGAGCGAUGGAGAUGGAGAUCGUGAUCGAGAUCAAGGCAUGCUCUGCUCUCGUAGCACUGCAGCAGCAGCAGCAACAACGAUGGAGGUGGUGAGAAGUCUGCUGAUUGAUACCUGCUUGGGUACAGACCCACCUGCUGUAGCAGCAGCGGCGGCUGGAAAUAUUUGGUUGCGAAGGGGCUGACGCCAUGAUCUCAAAGGGGGUUUCUAACGGCUACUUCUUCACACGAAGGAGUGGACGGGGUGGGACUUGACAAGCGGGAGAACUGGGUGAUGGUCCAGGCUGGUGGAAGAGCCCUCACAACAUUGGUGUGAUGCAUCUGCAGCGUUUGUCAACGUUUCGUCCCGAUGGACCGUGCCUGAUCGCCGCCGUCGAUUGUUUGGUGCCCCCCUCGCAUCGCCCGUUGUGUGAGUCCGCUUCUUCCCCAACCAUCGCAUGAUCUGUUCCGGGUGUUCGAUUUUUCUUUACCAGUAUGAAAGUUAAAUCGAUGGGAUCGUUAGUUUACGAACAGUUCCUCACAUGGGUUACUUUAACUACAGUUUUCAGAAGCAUGGAGGAGAUGACUUUUGGUAAUCAACAAGUGACGACGAAGUUUCUGCCAUGUUUAUUACCUCAUCAUACAGAUGGCGAACAUGAUGAACAAAUCCAUUAUUGGCUCCAUCUUUUCAGUGACUUAUCAUUGUCCUCGGAAACGCUUCUCUAUCAUUGCGAGUGGGUUCGAUCAAGCUAAUCAACGCACGCUCCAUCAUUUCCCCCACUGCUUGCUGAUCACUCUAAUCCUCCACUGAAACGACGACAAUUAGGCUGAAUACACACAGUGCUGCGAGGCUCUCACUGUUUCAACACCGAACCCAGUUCGUCAAACAAGAGGACUUGGGGUAGAUUCCACCAGAGAACCCAUGGCAUUCGCAUUCAAGUGAAUGCAGGACUAGACAAGCCGAGCUCCAUCACGUCAUCGGCUUGCGCAUCGGGUAAACUCAGGGGGGUGUAGAAACCAGAAAUCAUUUGUUCGUUGGGAGGAGCAUCGAUCGAGGGGGACACAGUCCUCCCUUCUUCUUCUUUUUUUUUUUUUUUUUUUUUCCUUGGAGUGGAAAGUCGUGAAGACUCGGGGGGUCCAAGUGAAGUCAACCAAGUCCAUGAUACACAGACCCCUCCUUUUCCCCGUUGCUUCCUACGACGACGAGCACGCCGAUGCGGCACGGCUCACAACAAAUGGAAACAUGUCGCCGGCUCCGUCGUCGUCGUCGUCGUAUUGUGGGACUUCCUCGCACGCGGCACGCAACGUUAGUUCUGUCUGUCUCGGGGAAGAGGGCGGGUCUUGAAUAAGAGCUUGCGUAGAAACUAAUUUCUAUACUUUAUAAUCUAUUUAAAACUAAUGUAACAUGGGGAUUUUUCUUUUUUCUUUUUUCUUUUUUUCCCCUCAUUUUACCACCAAAUUGUUGCAAGAAUAACGGAUUACCAAAUCUACACAUACCAUGUGCAAAUAAAAUUGGUUGUCCAUUAGAAUUUUAAUUUUCUUGACUAUUGACUAUCGUUAAUGUAGAAUUCUAACCAUCCAAAUCCAUCCAUUGUCAUGUUAGAGAUUUCUAACGAGAAACCUUUCAUGUCUAGGUGCUAAAAUUGUAUUAAUAUAUCUUUGAUCAAGACAUGUUCCAAGAAUCAUGUUUAGGAAUACCACAACUCCAUUAUUGACUAUCCACUGUGUUUCCAAAACUUGAGUUAGCAAUUUUGACUUUGUUUCAAUAUCAUUCUCAUAAUGUAGAAACAUCUAAUAUUGACCUUAUUAAAUUCUAAUGUGUAUACAUAUAUAUAUAUAUAUAUAUAUAUAUUCAGAAAAAGAUGUUCUAGAAGCUCAUACGUAUAUAUAAGCCAAUGAUAAUGAUGUCUCAAAAAUAGCUCUCUCAGUGGCUUACAAAUGCAUAAAAGUCAUUGCCAAUAAAGAUAUAUCAUUAAACAUUGUACUUCUCCAAAACUACUUUUUAUUGUGUUUGUUAAAAUAUUUACUACACUAUCAUCUCCUCAAAUACACAUAGAGUUUGUUUUUUUGUCUCUUAAAAAAAAUUAUAUUGUCUUAAGAUGUUUUAGUUUAUUUCUGAUUCAUUUUUAUUUUAAUGGUUUUCACUAAUACAAGUAAUUUUUUUUGUAUGUAUCUUGUUUAAUUAAUGAAGCGAUUUUUUUUAUUACAAUUAAUGAGUAUUGAAAAUAAAAGCAUAUUAAUCAAAAUUUUGAUUCUGUGAAUGUAAAGCAAUCUUGAAGGCUUUUAUUUCUUCUCCUUACAAUAACUAUAAAUUUUAGUAAUUCAUAAAAUUUUCACCAAUAAUUUUAAUAAUAUUUUUUAUAAUCAUCUAUAGAAUUUAAGAAUUUUAAAUAUUUCUUUUAUAUUUUUUAUAUAUAUUUAUAUAUAUAUAUAUAUACACACAUUCUACAAGUAAUAUGUGUUAUAUGCAAGACAAUAUAGAUAAUUAAAUACGUAAUUAAAAAAUACUCAAAAUUUUAUUGAUUUCUUUGAAUUAGUAAAUAGAAGAUUUUAAGGAAGGAAGACUGUUAGUAUUGUAUGAAACAUCAGUUCUUGUUUUUAUUUUUAGAUUCAAUAUACAUUACUUCCAAUUUUAUUUUUAAGAAUUUUAACCAAAAUUUAGUUUCUCUUGUUAAAUGUUUUUCAAACAAGUCACUUGUAUGCAACAUUAAUUAAAAAUAAUAUCUGUAUAGACCAUUGUAUUUUUGAAGAACAUACUGAUACCACAUUUUGGGAAGGAUAAUAAACAUCCCCUCCGUGAUGAUUUUAUUUGUCUCUUAUGCAAAUUUGGAUGGAUUUGUUAUCAUGAUCCUAACUUGAUAUGUACACACUAUUAACCACUUUUAUGAUUUGGUAUGUGUAACAUUGAAUAAUUUUAAGCAAGAUUUGGACAUGCAUUAGAAAGUUUUCUGAUAGAAUGUCUUGUGGAUAUUUUUCUAAUGCAUGUCCAAAUCACAACUUGCAUAUUGAAGUAUGUUAUGUCAUAACCAGACUAUUCACAACAACUUGCAUAUUGUUAUCAAUUAAAUGGGUUGUAUGUUAAAACUAAAUAUUUAUAAUGAAGGGCAUUAUUAUUUUAUCCUUGGCUACUUAUAAAAUAAGUAGUUAAUUUAUAUUUUAAAUAAACUAAUAUUUUUUUCAUAUGCACAAUACUUAAUAAGAUUCUAAUUGAAAAUAAAUAAAUAAAUACAUAAAUAAAUAAAUACAUAAAUAAAUAAAUUGCUAUGACUUGCAUAUAUAGUUAUGUGGUUGAAAACUUUCUCAAACA
rnacentral:lncRNA from 1 species